GGACCCGCCUCGCGGAAGUGACGGCGCGCCGGGGGAAACGGGGCGGGGCCCGGCCGAGCGCGCGGCGGGGGAAGAGGCCCAGUCGGGAGAGAAGCGGCUGAGGUAAAUUCCAGCCCCUUCCAAGCGCCGCCUUUCAAACUCCUCGCAGGCGUGUUUUGAAAGUAAGGUUGUGGGCUUUCCUCACGCCCCGCCGUUUUGUUUUUCUGUAAAAAUGGUAAUGAUGAUGAUAGUUGUUGUUGUUAUUACUAUUAUUAUUUUAAAUAUAUAAUAUAAAAAUAAUAAGUUUUGUUUUUCUGUAAAAAUAAUAAAAAUAAUAAUUGUUGUUGUUUUUUUAAAGAUCUAAUAUAAUAAGUUUUUCUGUAAAAAUGGUAAUGAUAAUAAGUGUUACUAUUUUAAAAAUCUAAAAUAAUAAUGUCUUUUUCUGUAAAAAUAAUAAUGAUGAUGAUGAGCGUAUAAGACGCCCCAUGUAAAAGACGGCCCCUAUUUUGAGGGACUCCAAAUUAAGAAAACACACCUCAGCACUACCCGUGUAUAAGACAAGCCCCAAUUUCAAACCUAAUUUUUGGGUAAAAAAACCCCUAGUCUUAUGCAUGGAAAAUACGGUAAGUGGUGUUAUUUUUAAAAAUCUUGUGUGGUUAUUAUUAUGUUUUAUCUCCAAAAAGAGUUGGAAAUGUUUUGUUGACUUUUUAUUAUUAUUGAACAACACAAUGAUCAGUAGCCUCCAACCUUUCCUCUGAUGAAAAUAGGGACGUCCUACUCAAUAAUAAUAUUUUUACUAUUUAUACCCCACCCAUCUGACUGGGUUGCCCCAGCCACUCUGGGCAGCUUCAAACACAUAUAAAAACAUAAUAAAAUAUCAAACAUUAAAAAGUUCCCCAAAUAAUAAUAAUAAUUGCAAACCACUUUGAGGUGUGUAUUUGCUUUUUUAAUAGUCAAGGGGUGCACAAUUUUUAAUGAAACAGAGCAAUGAAUGAGACAAACAAGGUUUUGCCACUGAGUGGAAAGUUGCCUGGCUCACAAAUAUGUGGUAGAAUUAUUAGUAUUAUUGCACACAGGGUCUGCUCUCUGGACACAGUGUGUUCCUAGGAAAUUGUUUGCUGGGCGAUUGUUUGCAUAAUGAGUCUAGGUUUCCCAUUGAUUUCUAUGGGGAAAUUUCUAAUGCGUUCCCAACCAUGGGAUUUUGAGACAUACACACACACAAACCCCAGAAUGAUGAGAAAACUCAGGAAAACCCUUUGAAACCUUGCAAAAGGAAAACAAGGGAAAAAUUGCUCUCUUAUUUGUCCAAUCUCUUCCCUUCCUCCUACCAUGGAUCCUGGCAAAAUGGCUAUAGUGGACUAGGAAAAGCUUUUAAUGUUUAAUGGGUUAUUGUAUUUUAGUGUUUUGUUGGAAGCCGCCCAGAGUGACUGGGGAAACCCAGCCAGAUGGGCAGGAUAUAAAUAAUAAAUUAUUAUUAUUAUUAUUGGGAAACACACAAAAAAGCAAUGCUUUUUAAAGGUUGCUUACUUGUUUACAGUGCUACACUCAGGUCUGUGGAGUGUAUAGUGAAGUUUGGGUACUAAUUCAUUGUGUUUGGAUAAGUGAAAUUUUCAUUUAAUGAGCUUUUGGAUCAUGGGAUCUGCUUGUCUUAUUCUUUAUUGAGUUUGUUAGUCACUUUAUCUUGCUCAGCGCAACACACAACAAUUUACGACCAGACAAACAAACAGACAGUAGAACCCAACCCAAGACAGAUACAUUAAAACCAAGAGGAAAGAGAAAUCCUGCCCACUUCUAAAGGUCUCAGAUAGUUACGAGAUUAAAGGCCUGGUUAUAGAGGAAUGUUUUUGCCAGGCACUUAAAGAUAUGCAAUAAUGGUGCCAUCUGAGCCUUCCUGGGGUGAGCAUUCCACAAAGGCCAGUGCUGGAGGAUGAUAGGAUUUGUAGUCCAACAACAUCUGGAGGGCCACUGGUUCCCUUUUCCUUCUGUAUGUAGUAUUUCAGGCAGCAGUUUAGGAGGUGGUUUUGUAUUUGGAUGCUCCUAACUGCCAAUGUGUAAAAAACAAUUUUAAAAUAACACGCUCCAAGUAAAAUAUUAACAUUUCAGAGCAAAAGCUCUACCUCACCCUGUUCUUUGCUAGUUUUCUGCCUAUAGGGAGUUUUACUUUGGGGAGCACUCAGCAAUUAAACACUGGGAAAGAUUUCUGACAGUUGGUGAGUUAGGAAUCAGUGCAGCUUUGAAAGGUUUAUUCAUUCAUCUUGAUUCAAAAUGGCAUUUAAUUGCAGCCAAAGCAAAACCUGCACCCUAUGUCAGGAACCACCAUGCAAAUUUUUGUGACAAUAUCUUAAGAAGCACCCAUACCAGUUCAGUUUUGAAAGGUUCAGUCUGCUCUCUUGAGUCAACAUGUCUUUCAAUUAUAGGGAAAUAUAAACUUACUUCUUGAUCUCGGGAACCAUAAUGCAAAAUUUGGUAAGAGGUGUCCAAAUGCAUGCAAUUUGGAAAGACUUAGUCCACCAUACUGAUUCCAAAUGACAUCCAGUGGUGUUCAAACGUAGGAAAAAAAACCCUCAGUUUCAGGAACCAUCAUGUUUUAUGAGGUGUCCGAUGUAUGGAGAACAGAUGGAAAGCAAACAACUUUCCAAAAUAUAAAUAUAGUAUACGUACUUGAAAAUGUUUUCUUUAUGCUACGGUUGCAGCAAGAAUACUCAUUGUGACAAAUUGGAAAAGUGAUAAAGUCCCUUCUAGAUUAGAGUGGACUCAAAAAAUGAUUGAAUAUGCGGAAUUAUAUAAUUUAUCAGAAAGAAUAAAAAAUAAAUAAAAGGAAGUAUUUAUCUCAAAAUGGGAAGUUUUAAAACUUUAUUUGAAAAACAGUAAUGACAGUUUAAAGUCUGUAGCAGCAUUUGAAUAACUUCAGUAGGAGUUUUAAGUUUGUUUUAUAUUUCUUUUUUGUGAUGUAUUAAAGUGAAACAAUUAUAAUAAAAAAGAAAGAAAAUGUUUCUGUGUCAUGUCAAUGAAUCUAUGCUUGUGAGACUUGGAGUGAGACAAUCACUACGGACUUGGAUUGAGUACAUUUUCUAUUUUUCAAAAAUGUUGUUUUGAGCAGUAUUUUGAACAUUAGAGAAAAACACUUUAUCUUUGUGUGACCUGGGUCAUGCCUUAAUCUCAGUUCAAUUUAUUUUAUCAUAGUCAAAGCAUCAAACUGAGUAAACCCUAAAUCCCUAUGCAGAUGACCUGUUCUAACAAAUAGUAAUUCCUGUUUAAAAUCUACUUUCCAGGGACUUGUUUUGAAACUAUGGGAGACCAGUGCCAUUACAAACUUGAAGUUAGCAUACUACUGUGAUGAGUACCUUAAUUUCAGAACAGAGGUGGUUGGUGGAGGAGAAAGUGUUUUAACUGCAGUGGGAGAAACAUCUUAAAAACUAUUGAGUUGUGUAUGUAGAGAGGGGGGUAAUUACAAGUUGUUCCUUUUUAAAAUUUAUAUUCCAGUCCAUUAAAUUUAUCUCUCCUGCUUAAGUUACAUCCCUGAAGUACACUCCUAAUGCCAUAGCUGUAACGCUACACUGAUUUGGGUCCAUUAUCCUAGGGAUGUAGAGCAUGACACAGCAGCCCACAAACCUGCACCAAUUAGGCCUAGUUCACCCAACAGUACCUGGAAAAUAUUUAGAAUAUUUCUGGGCUGCACCACUUCAUUCUUCAGGUGUGGAAAAUCACAUGACCUAAAUGCUUUUUCCUAUUAACACAUACAAAAAUGUAGAAAAGUAGACACUGGGGAUGUGAAUUUCUAGCCUGUACUUCUAAACUGAUAUAUGAACAUUUGGGAUUUAGCCAUGCAUUUCCAGAAUUUACCACCUUUAAACAGGAUCUUAGUUCCUUCAGAGUCCCAUUACAGGUAAUGGAAUUGGAGGAUAUUGGUGCUAUGACUAACUUGAGACCCGCUGAUUUGAUUUUAGAGGGAGGGGCACUGUCCAAUUGGACUUGGGCUGCAAUCCCUUAGUGGGACUUAAAGGUAAAGGUAAAGGGACCCCUGACCAUUAGGUCCAGUCGCGGACGACUCUGGGGUUGCAGCGCUCAUCUUGCUCUAUUGGCCGAGGGAGCCGGCGUACAGCUUCCAGGUCAUGUGGCCAGCAUGACUAAGCCACUUCUGGCGAACCAGAGUAGCGCACAGAAACACUGUUUACCUUCCCACCUAUUUAUCUACUUGCACUUUGACGUGCUUUCAAACUGCUAGUUUGGCUGCUGAGUAAAUCAUAUCAUAGGAUCAGGCUGCACAGUUUCCAGACUAAGCAGACUUGCUAGUAGUAAAUACAGGAUGCUUCUAGACAGUGUUUAUUGAGCAUUCAUCCUGCAGCAACUGAUGUGAGGCAAUAGUUGAGGAAUCUGACACAAUAAAUAGCAAACUGCUCUGACUCAGUGUAAAGUGGAGAUAUAAAAUUAGAAAGGGCACACAACAUAAGCAUGUGUGUGUGCUGUCCAGCACUGGAUAUCAUUUUUAAAUCAGCAUAAAAUAAGGGCUACCCAAACCUCAGUGUGAUACCUUUCUUAGAAUAUAUCAGUAACCAAUAAGUAAGCAUCCUUAUAUGGGUAUUACUGUGUGAAAGCAAGCCUGUGGUUGCAAUGUGUUUAUCAUAAAACAUUGGACAACGAACCUGAAAUAAAAUGCACAAAUUAAAAUGCUCUAUUUGGCAAUUAAAUAAGCUGCACUGAGCCAUUGUGGAAUUUACUUGGAAGUUUACGCAGAAAGGUGGCCGGGUUGCUGUCAAAAAAGAAACACAUGCCACACCCCUGGCCAGACCAUCCAUGUAGCCCAGUCUUAUAUACGCUCGACAGGCAGAGGCCAUCCUGAGUCUCAGGUAGAGGGUCUUUCCCCAUCCUUUUUAAUUGGAAGUGACCUUCUUUGAACUUUAGAUCUAUUGUGCCUAGGAUAUGAAGUGGGUUUGGGGGAGAAAUUUGGUUUCGUUCACAUUUUAAUACAAACCUGCCUAAUUUGCACUUCCCAAAGCAAUAUGUGAACUGAAAUGCAGCAGUCCUUCAAAAUCCACGCUUCUCCCUAUUUUGUGAUGUAGUUCUGUAGCCAAAGAAUGUGUCUGCUAAGGGGAAAGUAUGCAUGUAUUUGUAGAAAGAACAUAGUAUCAUUUUAGUAGGGGAAAUUACUUGUGCAAAUGUGCACUGAAAUCGUGGGACAUUUUCAUAAGUGCAUCCCCCACCCCACCCCACCCCCCAGUGCAAACUGAUGUGGAAAGGUGGCUAACUGAACUUAAGACUGGAAAAAUGAGGGGGAAAAAAAAAGACAUUUGUCCAUCCCUAAUGGAGAGUAGUAGUGGUAGUAGUGGUGGGUUUGGGGAGAUGGGACGUAUGACUUAUGAGAAACCAUCCAGUUUUGUGAUUCAAUGGCAUAAAUAUGAAAAAAGGCUUUGAUUGAGAUUUUAUUUAUUUAAGAAUGUGGAUCCUUUGUCCUAAUAAAUAUUUACUGAUAUUUUAAAUUAAUUUUUAAAGGAUGCUUUUAUUGCUUCUAUUGUGUAUAUACCACCUGGAUGUACACUGCUUCAAUAUAUUUUAUGAAAAUGUGGAUUGUGGAUAUUUCAAUACAUAAAUAAAUAAUGAAACAUUCAAGUAGGCCAACUCUAAACUAAAAACAAACAUUAACAGACUCAUUAUUAUUAAAAAACCAACACUAUAGCAAUUCAUGGUUGGGUGGUAAACCAAAUAAAGAGCACCUAAAAACUGCAAAGCAAUUUCUGGAGAGAGCAAAAUUCAAAGUUACGACUGGUUAAGACAGAAGAGUGUACAAAAGGUGGCAGUACAUUAACAAACAAGGGGCAAGCAAGUCUGAUUUCUAGGGCAAUGAAUCCCACAUCCAUGAUCAGUUAUGCUCUUUCCUUUGUUCCCACAUGAUGCUACUUCUGACAGUGAUGGGAAAUGCGGCCGUGGCUUUCUGAUCACAGUGGACAAGAAGGUUCAUAUGGGAGCGAUGGUCCUUUAGGUAUUCUGGACCUUAGCCAUGUAGAGCAGUUCAGUGCAAUUGAUGUAAGAGAGGAGUCACAUACUGGCAUCCAGCACAGACUAAGAUUAUUGCUGCAAUACUAACAAAACACACCCACACAAAAUCCUGUCCCCCUCCAACCCCAUAUUUCACUAUAUGACGAUGUGAUGUGCCUUUUAUCUUUACGUUGCCUCACUACCAGGAUGUGAUUUACGGUUGGGAGGGGGCAGCAAAGAAAUUUCGGCAGUCAUGGCAAGGAUUUUGCUUUAAUACAGCAAAGGCUAUAUUAAUAGAGUUAAAUAAAAAUUCAGUAUUCUGUUCUAAGAGCAUUUGCUGUGAUAACUUUUUAUUCCUACCAGAUUGCCUUAUCUGGCAACUGUUUGAAAUCUUCAGGAUAUGACCAUUGAUGGCCUAAGAGUGGGUCAUGUGUGGGGCUGCAGCAGAGUUUGUAGCAACUGCUGCAGAACAUCCUUCUGGAUCAACCACGGCAAACGCCACUAGAGCUGACAAUCUAAAGCUAUAAGGAAGAGGGUGAACCAUACAGAACCGUUGGUAGGCAUGUUUGGUGUUUGCGCUUUGGGGAGCAGCAACUUCUCCUAGCACAUUGCAAGAUUUAAUAUGCUAUUUGCCCAGGAUUUCCGGCAUGUUUUAUGCCUGGCUUUAGUAUUGCUUUAUAGCUCUGCUGGAUUUUAUAGUUGAUUUUUGGCUCCUCCCCCUCCUCCUUUUGAUGUUUUAUAUGGCAUUUCUAUUCUAUUUCUCAUUUUUUAAUUUGAUAGUGCCCUAUAAAUUUGUCAGGGAAUGAAAGGUCUUAGGCAAGCUGAACUGAAAAAUAAAAUUUAAGGAAUAUUACAAGACAAACCAUAAAGGUUUGUGGUUGCAAACUGGAAAGUUAAUAGAUGCACAUUUAAUAAAAUCAUCAUCAUAACUACUACUUAAUAUUUAUUAAGGGCCUGUAUGUAGAACAAUGAUGAUAUUGUUCCUGCCUUUACACUGGGAUGGGAAACCUGUGACCGUUCACCUUCUGUUGGGCUCUCAUCAUGCCUGACAUUUCGCCAUUCUGGCCAGGCCUGAUGGGAGCUAUAGUCUAAACAGAGAUUGGGAACCUAUGAGCUUCUGGGUGUUGCUGGAAUAAAACUACCAUCAUCUUUGGCCAUUGGCAACACUAGCUGGAGCAGAUGGGGGCUGGAGUCUAAACAACAUUUGGAUGGCUGUGGGUUCCCCACCCCUGGUCUGCAUGCAUGAACCCCGAGGACAGUAAAGAAGAUAAGGAGAUGGAAAUAGGAGAUGGGAGAUGGGAGGCUAAGCUAAAGUAGGGAGGCGGGUGGGGAAACCCAGCCAGAUGGGCGGGGUAUAAAUAAUAAAUUAUUAUUAUUAAAGAAAAGUCAAGUUUUAUAGAUUUUGAAUAUUGUAAGCUGAAGUGCCCUUAGGAGCAAUGGUUGAAUUCUAAUUUGGUUUGCAGUAAUGGCACUGCAUUGUCUUGUUUGUGCUUCUAGUAUGGCUUUUUCACACACAAUACAGGAUAAAUCUGGCUAUCCCACUGAGAAUGCAGUAGACACAGAGCUGCAGCCAGUGUUGGCUUCAUGAUGAUGUUUUUGUUCGUGAAUAUGAAUUGAAGACUAUACUAGGUACAUACAGUGCAUAACCCAUCUGUUAUUUAUCUCAAUAGCAAAGUCCUCCAGUCCAGUGCAUCAGAAUUACAUCCACGGUGUACAUGUCUAGCAAAAUGAAAUAAAGUUUAAACAUGCACAUUUUAUUUUUUUUAAAAGAACUUUUACCUAAGCAAACAGUAAUUGCCAUCUUUGGGACACAUUUAUGUUUGUAGAAGGCAACAUUUCAUUUUGCUCACAACAUGCUGCAGAGUUGAAUUUCAGAUGGUAUUACAAUCAGAACUAUUGAUCCUGGGAGAUCAGUCAACUUCUAAAACAUCAGAAUGACUUCAUAGUAGUGGCACUUUGCCCAGACACGCAACCUUUGGAAAAAUUCCUGGCCAAAGAUUUUAACCGAUCCGAUCAGCAUUCUUAUGCUUGCCUUUCAGAUACGAUGGAAUCUGAGGCAGAAGUCAGGCUCUCUCCCAAUAGGACAACCAUUGUUUCUUAUACUUUGGCUGUAAAAGCUGCAUUCUGUCAGCCUGGCUAAAGAAAUCUCCCUGCCACACCCAUCUGCAGAUGUUCAUUGUAAUGUAUUGUGAACGAAAGCACCUUAUAAACAUUAAAAAUAAGAUUUGCAAAACCAUUUUUAAAGGUUUUAUUUGGUAAGCAGUGCUAGGAUCAAAUAAAGUUAAUGGCUUCAUUGCAGGUUGAGGGCAGUGGCCAGGAUAGUCCAGGCGUGCCCAAGGGCAUGGACAUGCUUAGUGGUUUUCCUGACUUUUUAUCUAAACACCAAUUCCAUAUGACAAACUGCUUAACUUGAAGGUUCCCUCAAGUCACUUCCAGGACACCUGGACGGUUAAGUCCAGUCAAAGGCGACUGUGGGGUGCGGCACUCGAUCUCACUUUUCAGGCCGAAGGAGCCUGCGUUUGUCCACAGACAGCUUUUCUGGGUGAUGUGUCCGCAUGACUAAACCGCUUCUGGCACAAUAUAACAUUGUGAUGAAUGCCAGAGUGCACAGAUAUGCCAUUUACCUUCCUCACCACAGCGGUACCCAUUUAUCUACUUGCACUGGUGUGCAUUUGAACAGCUAGGUUGGCAGAAGCUGGGACAGAGCAAAGGGAGCUCACUCAAUUGUGUGAAUUCGAACCUCCAACCUUCUGAUCGGCAAACCCAAGAGGCUCAGUGGUUUAGACCACAGCGCCACCUGUGUCCCUUCUGGAGGAAUAUGCUUUGCAUGAGAGGAUAACUGCUCAUCACCCAAGGAAUGGGCCCCUUCUAAGGGAUCACUUCCCCCUUCCUCAGAGUGACCACCUCAUUCCCUAUUUUAACCCCCAUUCACCAUGACAGCAAGGAGUGGAACACACAGCUAUAACAUCCCUGAAGUCCUCAUCCACCAUCCACUCUGCCUCUCUCAGCUUCUUCAGGUUGACCACCAUGACUUCAAUGGACGAGCAUCUCUGCUCAGGGCCAGAAGCUCAUUGUAUCCAAGUGUCACGGUCCGGUUCACGGGUGAUCGAAGUCCCGGCAAGGGACGUCGGGACCGGGGGUAAGAUGGCAGGGUGGGAGCAGGAACGGGGGUUCAGAAGCAAGGAGCCAAGAGUCUGAAGGUCAGAGAGCCAGGAGUCAAGAAGCCGAGGGUCCGAGGGUCAGGAAGCAAGGAGUCACGAAGUCAGGGGUCCGAGGAUCAAGAAGGAAGGUGUCAAGAAGCUGAGGGUCAAGGAUCAGGAAGCAAGAAGCCAAAUGCAGCAAGGCAGGAAGUGUGUUGCUGUGGCAAAGAGCCGAAGGGAAAUGCUGACCUUAUAUCCCUUCCCAGCUCUUGCCACCAGGUGCUGUGAGUUACCAAUCGGCCUCACCUGUGAGGCUGCACCUUGCCUCUUCAGAACAAACUUAGGAAGGCCCCAGUCCUGCAAAGUCCUAUUGGUCACAGGGCCUGGCUCCUGCACACACACCUAACACCAAGAUACACCCACAACUUUUGUCCAGAAAGCAGAUAGUUGUACGUGUGACAGACAGUGCAAAAUACUGGAAAGCACUUUCUACCUUCAUAACUUUUUUUCUUUUCUUUAUUGAGUUUCAUUAUCUAGGAACUUAGGUUGUGUUUAGGCCAAAGAGCAAAGAGGCUUCCUCACCCUGCUGCUUAACUUGCCUUGACUCUUUUAGCUGGAGUAGAGAGACACUUCAUCAGCUGGGGCUCCCUGUAGCUCAUGGAGCUGAUUGCUGAUGGGUCCCUGCUCCUUCUCAGGACUAGUGUGACAUAUAGCUACUUGAGACUACACAGGGUCUCAAAUAUCUGAUUGGGACAAUGCAUCUUAACUCUGGUAGUGUCCCUGUAGAUAAAUCCAUUUUCAUCAACACCUUAGUGUGUGGGUGUGUCUGUGUAUGCCUUUAAAAUGGCUUUUUAAUGAAUGGAGACUCAGAUGUAUUUAGAGAAAAUGCAGCAGCUGAAAAAGAGGCUCCAAGUACUGGUGGCUGAAAAACUCACAAAUUUUUGUUGCAGGAAGAGAGACAUCAGAAGCAUGGUCUUCUCUUCCCCCAUAAAAUGAUUGGUGUGCGUGUUUUCUAUAUGUCAUAUGAUUUCAGAAAAAAGAAGAACUUGGUUGUCUUUGUAAUAAUCCAGAAUAUGAUGCUCAUGCGACCAGAGGAGAGAUGUAUGCAGUUAUUGUCUUGCUGCAGUGGAAACGUUUGUUGAAUAGACAUGCUUUUGUAAGGAAUUAACAGAGAAAAAGGGACGCGGGUGGCGCUGUGGGUUAAACCACAGAGCCUAGGGCUUGCCGAUCAGAAGGUCAGCGGUUCGAAUCCCCGCGACGGGGUGAGCUCCCGUUGUUCGGUCCCAGCUCCUGCCCACCUAGCAGUUCGAAAGCACGCCAGUGCAAGUAGAUAAAUAGGUACCGCUCUGGCGGGAAGGUAAACGGCGUUUCCGUGCGCUGCUCUGGUUCGCCAGAAGCGGCUUAGUCUUGCUGGCCACAUGACCUGGAAGCUGUACGUCGGCUCCCUCGGCCAAUAAAGCGAGAUGACCGCUGCAGCCCCAGAGUCGGUCACGACUGGACCUAAUGGUCAGGGGUCCCUUUACCUAACUGAGAAAAAGUUGAAAGAUGGGUCUUAUUUUUGAGGUUACUUUAAACUGCCUGUAGGUAGGUAAAAUAGGAACAGAGGAAGCUGCCUUAUACUGAGUCCAAAUAGCUGAGUAAUGUCUACACUGACUGGCAGCAGCUCCUCAGGGAGUUUUCUCAGCCCUUUUUGGAGACACCAGGGAUUGGACCUCUGCACUAUUUGCAUGUAAAGUUUGUGCCCCUCCAGUGAAUUAUGACCCUCUCCAAAGGACCAAAUGUCUCUUUGACUCAUCCAGCCUUCUGUACACAAGAAGUUGCUUUUUUUUCAAAAAAUGAAAUUCAAAGUGACUUACACAAAAUUAGUAGUCUGUAGAUUUUCCAUACAUAACGUAAGUUAGCCUUCGUAAUUGCAACCUGCAUUAGACGACAUGGAUGAUAUAAGUGUAACUUUAUUCGUAAUCAUAAUGAAAACUGUUGCUUUUUUUAAAAAAGUCUGAUAUAAACCAUUGUCUGUAGCAGAUCUGUAAGCGUAUGACCUACGAUGAGUAUAUUGUAUAAUUAUUAUUAUUAAUAAUAAUAAUAUUUUUUUAAUUUAUAUCCCGCCCUCCCCAGCCGAAGCCGGGCUCAGAGCGGCUAACAACAGAUUAUUAUUAUUAUUAUUAUUAUUAUUAUUAUUAUUUAUACCCCGCCCAUCUGGCUGGGUUUCCCCAGCCACUCUGGGCAGCUUCCAACAGAACACUAAAAUACAAUAACCUAUUAAACAUCAAAAGCUUCCCUAAACAGGGCUGCCUUUAGAUGUCUUCCAAAAGUUUGGUAGUUGUUUUUCUCUUUGACAUCUAGUGGGAGGGCGUUCCACAGGGCGGCCGCCACUAUCGAGAAGGCCCUCUGUCUGGUUCCCUGUAACUUGGCUUCUUGCAGCGAGGGAACUGCCAGAAGGCCCUCGGCGCUGGACCUCAGUGUCCAGGUAGAACGAUGGAGGUGGAGACGCUCCUUCAGGUGUACUGGACUGAGGCCAUUUAGGGCUUUAAAGGUCAGCACCAACACUUUGAAUUGUUCUCGGAAACGUACUGGGAGCCAAUGUAGGUCUUUCAAGAUCAGUGUAAUGUGGUCUUGGCGGCCUCUCCCAGUCACCAGUCUAGCUUCAUUCUGGAUUAGUUGUAGUUUCCGGGUCACCUUCAAAGGUAGCCCCACAUAGAGCGCAUUGCAGUAGUCCAAGCGGGAGAUAACCAGAGCAUGCACCACUCUGGCAAGACAGUUCGCAGGCAGGUAGGGUCUCAGCCUGCGUACCAGAUGGAGCUGAUAUAUAAGAGAUGCAGGCAAUGACUGUUUUGCGCGUGUUCAAUAUGUACAAAACUGCGCAUACGCACAUUGCCACAACCUAGAAGUGGCUGGAAAAGGGGGGAGAGCAGGCUUAUGUGCACUCUUCCAACGGGCCUGGGGGUCAGGAACGUAACCCCCACGCAAAACAGUUGUUGCCUAUACAGAAAAAUAGUGAUGGCAUUAUGAGAUAUGUGUGAAAAAGUUCACCCAAGAGAUACAGACUUAAUGCAUUCUUGUUCCCCAGGCAUCCAAUUACUGAACAGGAGCAUCAAUUACAUGGAAAAUAAGCAGCUGGUUUCCCAUCACAAGACCCAGUGUUUACACAGGCCAGACCUGUCUAACUUGUGAUCCACCAGUGCUUGCUCAACCCUCUAGCCAUACAUUCUGACUUUCCUAGGACUGAAUGAACCUCCUGUUUGUACCAUCUACCAGGAACUGUUCAAGAGGAUCAGAAUUGUACAGGUCUAUUUAUCUCUCAUUUGGACAAAGGCGUGCUUGCAAGAUUCUAUGACCUUUGGCUAAACUUGGAUCAGAACCAGAAUACAUAUAUGAGAAAAUGGGUGCGAGAAGUGGGUGGCGGAAGCAUAUCUCCUACUAUAUUUGAAUGGAUCGAGAUAAUUAGGUCCAGGGCUUUUUUUAAAGCAUUGCCAUUAUAAGAGAACAAGGUAGGUGAUCAGGGUGAAUUCUGGCACAUCUUUAUCUAGAAAAAGAGCACUGAUCGUAACUACGAUUAAGCUUACUUAUUAUAAAGUAAUAUAUAUAUAAACCAGCUUAACAGGUUUAUGGAAAAAUAUGUAUGUCUUAUAACAUUUUAGAACAGCAUGUUCAGUGAUAAUGGACAGCCUUACACUGCUUUCAACCUGCUGUAACGGUAUUUAUGCUCUUUUCCUUUCGUUUCUUUUGUUUAUCAAUAAAAUAAAAUUAUUUGGGUUUUUAAAAAAAUAGUACAGGUCUGAGUCAGAUCGCCCAAUUUCAUUCUGUUUUGACAAUCCUAGAACAUCUUGUGGAUGUUCAAAAAUUCAGAGGUACUGGGAAGUAUGACAGUCACAAAAGAUAGGUCUGUCAAUCCAUCCUUCCAUCCAUCCAGAUAUUCAUAAAAAGUUAACUAGACAACCAUUCUGGUGUAAAUAUCAACAUUCAUGAAACUUUGGAUAUUCGCUAUAGCAGUAACUCAGUGCCAGACUUUUAGUGUGUUUGACCCUGCUCUGUGGAACAGUAUUUCUGUUGAGAUUCAACAAGUGCCCACUAUCUACACUUUCCAGAAACAACUGAAAACAUUUUUGUUCCAACAAGCUUUCCCAGUUGGAAGGUCUUUGCUGUGGGCGUCUACCUUGCAGUGUUUUAAAAUUCAUCUGCUGUUGAUGGUUGUGUUGUUGUCAACUGUUUCUUUUAGCUUUAUUGUACAUGCUAAAGGUAAAGGUAAAGGGACCCCUGACCGUUAGGUCCAGUCGCGGACGACUCUGGGGUUGCGCGCUCAUCUCGCUCUAUAGGCCGAGGGAGCCUUCAUUUGUCUGCAGACAGCUUCCAGGUCAUGUGGCCAGCAUGACUAAGCUGCUUCUGGCGAACCAGAGCAGCGCAUGGAAACGCCGUUUACCUUCCCGCCGGAGCGGUACCUAUUUAUCUAUUUGCACUUUGAUGUGCUUUCGAACUGCUAGGUUGGCAGGAGCUGGGACCAAGCAACGGGAGCUCACCCUUCUGAUCAUCAAGUCCUAGGCUCUGUGGUUUAACCCACAGUGCCACCCGCAUCCCUAUUGUACAUGGUACAUCACCAUAUAACAACAACUUCAGGCACCUCUACCUGAAUAGAAGCUGUGUCACCAAUACAUAGCCACAUAAUGUACCUGAAGUUUUUAUUUUAAAAAAUAAGAAGAAAGGUUGUUACAGAAAUUUUACAAUAUACACAUAAGUAUAUGGAACAGAAGUUCAGUCAUGUUCCAUAAACAUCUGCAGUAGCUUUUCCCCUAAGUAAUCAAUAGUAGACCUAAUCCCCCCCCCCCAAAUGAUACUGUUACAGGUUUUGAGUACCAGUCUGUCGGUGCAAGUCACCCAUAAAUAAUAAAAAAUUAUUAUUAACACCAAACCCUGGUUAAGUGCUAAGAACACUUAAUAAUAAUAAUAAUAAUAAUAAUAAUAAUAAUAAUAAUGAACCCUUGACUCUUCUGCAGCACUUGGCAGAGACUAGGGUGGCCAGUAACAUUGCAUAUACUGGUUGGCACUUUCCUCCCCAUGUGUACAGCAAGUUGUGAGACUCCUGGACCAGACUUGAGUCUACAGUGGGGACAGAGACUUAAUUCCCCACACCCUCCCCAUUGUCUUGAUUCAGAUGCACUCUGGUGCUUGCUUUUUACUAUCUCAAAAUGUUCAGAGGAAUGCUGAUUGCAUUAAUGAUGUUACAUGAAAAUUGGCGCACACAGCGAAGACUGGUAUGCACUGUGUACCUAUUUAAAACAUAGCACGGGAAGUAUCCCCCGCAGCCACUCAAGCUAGCCCCAUUCUGCUUUCAUGGCUUCAGAUCCCAGAUAACAGAGUCCUAACGUUUAGUCCUCUUAAAUCAUUUUUGUUUAUUGCAGACAACAUUGAACUAGACAAACUAUUCUUCUUUUUAAGCACUCCACUCAUUAUCCCAGUUUACUUUUGCUUUUCCUCUGAAGACUGAAAGCUCUGAGUCAUAAUCAGCAUGUAUAUUUAGAUACUGGGCCUUCUGAUGGGAAAUCAGCUGUUGACUCUGUAUAACCGGUGUUCCCGCCUAGUAAUUGAAUAUCUGGGGAAUAAGAAUGCCUUAAGUUAACUAUUUAUAUCUUAAGCAAACAUUCAUUUAUGGGUCUUGGCAGGCCAAUCAUUAGUUUCCUAUAGAUGAACAAACACAGAAAAUAUAUUAUCAUUUCCUUCUUUGGCGAUCACACAUAGCCAAGAUUGUCUUCCAUGACUAUGGUCUUAACAGUUGUGUCUGUAAGUGACUAUGGAGGCCAAUUUUGGAUCCGCACAUACUUCCACAAUGGGGACAUAGGUUUCUGGGCAGGAGUUGAUCAUGGUGAGGAUUUGCCAAACGUGCCUUCCUCUUAGCUUGUUUCUCCCUUUCGUCCUGAGUUUGAGCGUCUUCAAAGUCCAUGAUGCCUUUGGUAAGACUGUUCUCCAGUUGGAGCGCUCACAGGCCAAUCAGUUGGAGCGCUCGUCUUGGCAGGCCAAUCAUUAGUUUCCUGUGGAUGAACACAGCCACAUGGAACCCUGGUAAUCAGUAAAAAAAUUCCCAAGGGAUGAGUUGAACCAUACCUCUGCCAAAAAUUACCAUGCUUUUCGCUCUAUAAGACGCACCAGACCACAAGACGCACCUAGUUUUUGGAGGAGGAAAACAAGAAAAAAAAAUUCUGAAUCUCAGAAGCCUGAACAGCAAGAGGGAUCGCUGCGCAGUGAAAGCAGCAAUCGCUCUUGCUGUUCUGGCUUCUGGGAUAGCUGCGCAGCCUGCAUUCACUCCAUAAGAUGCACACACAUUUCCCCUUACUUUUUAGGAGGGAAAAAGUGAGUCUUAUAGAGCAAAAAAUACGGUAUUUUUAAAAAAUUGAGGGAACCAAAGAAGGGGGAGUGCUUGAGGGAAUGUGGUGCCCACAGGUGCCACUUUGAGGAUCCCAGCUUUGGACCAUGUUCUGGGAUCAAAUCUUAUAUGGGGUAUCCAUCGACUGACACCACCAAUUCUAUACAGUUGAAAAAUUCAAUCUGUUUAAAGGUAAAGGUAAAGGUACCCCUGCCCGUACGGGCCAGUCUUGCCGGACUCUAGGGUUGUGCGCUCAUCUCACUCUAUAGGCCGGGAGCCAGCGCUGUCCGCAGACACUUCCGGGUCACGUGGCCAGCGUGACAAGCUGCAUCUGGCGAGCCAGCGCAGCACACAGAAACGCCGUUUACCUUCCUGCUGGUAAGCGGUCCCUAUUUAUCUACUUGCACCCGGGGGUGCUUUGGGACUGCUAGGUUGGCAGGCGCUGGGACCGAACGACGGGAGCGCACCCUGCCGCGGGGAUUCGAACCGCCGACCAUGCGAUCGGCAAGUCCUAGGCGCUGAGGUUUUACCCACAGCGCCACCCGUGUCCCAUUCAAUCUGUUUGCCUACACACAAAGGAAUAGUCGCUUGAGUGGAACAGACAAGGUAAUGAAAUAUAUGCUUCGCAGGAAGAGAGGCCAUUCCUAGACGAGAGGGUAGUAAGCCUUACACCGCUUCAUUUGCUUCAUUGCAUGAUGAUCGCUUUGUGCGGCGCUUAAUUAAAAUACGUGCCAUUUGUAGCUAUUAAGAUCGAUUUUCCUCCUCUGUGAUUGCAGCUGCAUUGUGCUCGUUGACCUGUUCGCUGAGUGGGUUGUUUGUGUUGUUUUUGUGAGCCAACCCGAUGCCAAUGCAUUGCUGCUAAUGUGCUGUUUAAUUUCAUCCUGCAUCAAUCAUGCACAUUGUCUCUUUUGUUUUUGACGUUUCAAAGCCAAUAAAGAAAGCCAAUUCUGAUUAAUGGGGCCCAGAAAUCUUGACAGUGGUUGUUUAUUUGUUGAGGAGAAAGCAUAGGCAAAAGAUUUUCAUGUAGAGGAAGUGGGAUAGAGAACAGUUUUCUCCCUCUUUCUAGAACUCGAACUCAGGAGUAUCCGAUGAACCUGGAUGUUGGAAAAUUCAGUACAGACAUAAACACACACACACACCCCUUCUCCACUACUCUGCGCUACAAAGAUAUCUGCAAAUGUGACAUGAAGGCUGGCAAUGUCGAACACCCAUCCUUGCAGACGACUGCAGUGCCUGGAGACAGACAGUCAGGCCCUGCAUGUAUAACAGAGACCAGAGGAGGAAUGACUGCUUGGGACGCCAAAAUUCAGCACCCCUCCACUUCUCAUGCUCCUUUCUAUUAUGUAAUCAUUUUUAUUGGUUUUACAAAUUUGUUGUUGUUGUUUAGUCGUGUCCGACUCUUCGUGACCCCAUGGACCAGAGAACGCCAGGCACUCCUGUCUUCCACUGCCUCCCGCAGUUUGGUCAAACUCAUGUUCGUAGGUUCGAGCACACUGUCCAACCAUCUCGUCCUCUGUGGUCCCCUUCUCCUUGUGCCCUCCAUCUUUCCCAACAUCAGGGGCUUUUCCAGGGAGUCUUCUCUUCUCAUGAGAUGGCCAAAGUAUUGGAGCCUCAGCUUCCGGAUCUGUCCUUGCAAUGAGCACUCAGGGCUGAUUUCCUGCAGAAUGGAGAGGUUUGUUCUUCUUGCAGUCCAUGGGACUCUCAAGAGUUUCCUCCAGCACCAGAAUUCAAAAGCAUCAAUUCUUCAGUUUUAUAAAUACAAAGUACAAAUAAACACAAGCUAGUAAAAACAUAUUGACAACAUUUUGGAGAUCCCAAGUCACAAGGUGGUUAGGUUGGUCUUAACUAGGGCCAGGGCCUUUUCAGUUCUGGCUCCAACUUGGUGGAACACUCUGUCACAAGAGACUAGGACCCUACGGGACUUGACAUCUUUCCGCAGGGCCUGCAAGACAGAGCUGUGCUGCCUGGACUCAGUCUGACCCUUAUGUUUCCCUCCCCUUUAUGAUUUUGACUUUUAAAAUGAGGCUGCAUUUUAAAUUACAUUUUAACCUGUAUUUUAAAUUGUUCUUUUUCUUUUUUCUUAUUAUGUUUUUACUGAAAUUUUAUUGGUGUUAGCUGCACUGAGCCCGGCUCUGGCCGGGGAGGGCGAGGUAUAAAUAAAUUUAUUAUUAUUAUUAAUUAUUAUUAUUAUUAUUAUUAUUAUUAUUUCUGUAUAUGAAGAUUCUCCAAAUCUCAAAACAUUCCCUCCACGGGGUCUCAUUUUAAACAUCUACAGCUGCAUAUUCAUCCAUACUCCUUUUUUUAUAUCAAACCAUAUUGUCCAUAAUAAUUUUUACACUACAAGUGAGUCAAAAUCCUGCUCGUUUCCAUCUGCUUAGCUUACAUUUUUUUCCCAUUCUUUUAUAAAGUUUUUAUCCUCUUGGUUUUUGAGUCCUUUCUAAAUCAUAGUUGGGGCUUCCCUGAGGCUCCCUGCUCAGUGUAGCCGAAGCAGACUCACUCCUAUAAAUCCGCCUCUACGGGGUGGAGAGCAGUGAGAAGAAACACCAUGGCGCUGCUGCAGCAGCACAACCAGAUGCCUUUGUCUGCCCCAGCUGCAACAAAACAUGUCUCUCCCAUAUCGCUCUCUACAGCCACAGCAGGCGCUUCCAACAGUUUGACUUCAUCCCCCAAAGGUGCAGUCCUCCAUUGUCUCCCGAGACAGACGGAUGUCAGCCAACCAACCACACCACUUUAACAGUUGUGGCUUCCCCCCUCCCCCACCAAAAUCCUGGGAACUGUAGGUCAUUAAGGGUUCUGAGAGUUGUCAGGAGACGCCCCACACAGAACUACAAUUCCCAACAUCCUUUGAAAACAACAGUUCCCAAGAUUCUUGGGGGGGGGGGAGAGAGCCAUGACUGUUAAAGUGAUAUAAAAAGGUAAAGGGACCCCUGACCAUUGGGUCCAGUCGUGACCGACUCUGGGGUUGUAGCACUCAUCUCGCUUUAUCCGCAAAGGGAGUCGGCGUACAGCUUCCGGGUCAUGUGGCCAGCACGACUAAGCCGCUUCUGGCGAACCAGAGCAGCGCACAGAAACGCCGUUUACCUUCCCGCCAGAGCGGUACCUAUUUAUCUACUUGCACUUUGACAUGCUUUCGAACUGCUAGGUUGGCAGGAGCUGGGUCCGAGCAACGGGAGCUCACCCCGUCUUUAAAUAUGUGGUGUGACUCUUGUUAUUCGUGGCAUCGUACGCUGCAGAGUUUCACACACAGCAGUUGAAGUGCUAGCUGAAAGGUAUGAUGUGGAGAAGUACAUUUGAGCAUCACUGAAUUGUGGGUUGAACAUUAAGUUUUCUGCAACAGGUUCACCCAUAAGGAAGAGGUCUGCGUCUCGUGUCAUGCAGCAGAACAGCUCCAAGUGAAAGUGCCCUGCUCUCUUCCUUCCAACCCACCCCCACCUCCGCGUGACAUCUGUACAAGCUUUAAAUGAACAAAGAGAGCAUUAGCAGCAGUUACAAAAGCCAAUUCUAGGCUAAUUUUUAGCACUGACAUAACUACGUUCCUCCCAGAAACACAAACGGACCUCUUGAGGGCGGAGCGGCGGAAGUAUCCGAUUUCUGCAAAUAUUGCCCUGCAGCAAUUGCUGUGGCCGCACAUGCUGGAUAAUGAAUUGGUGUUGCUCGGAAGUCAAAUUUAGGCCAAAUAUUACAUAAGUGCAUAAGCAAUGCUAAUCUUAAUCCCUUUCCAGGCAUCUCCCUUGCUCCAUCUAGGCCUGCUGCUGCUCUUAAGCUAAAAAGCUCUUCUCCCAUUUGUGAAUUGCCCAGGGCACUUUCAUUUCCAUGGCCAGAUUUGUUUCUUGGGAGCUGAGGGGGUGGGGGAUUUGUGGGUGUUAGAGGGAGAAGCCACCAGGGUUGUUGCUAAAGACAGAUAAUUGCUAGGUAAAUGUCUGCAGUCGGGAUGCGUGAGGCAUGUGCAGAAUGCAGAGGAGAAGGAUCUGUAUAUUGCAGAGACCCUUGCAAUGGCACCGUGGGCAAUUCUGGAGUGUAGGCACUCUUAAUCUAUUCAUUAUUAAAUUUAUAUCCUGCCUUUCCUCCCAAAGGAGCCCAAGACAGCAAGACAGCAGCCCAUCCAUCCUACCAUGUACCCCACUACUGCCACCACAUAUUGUUUGGCUGAACUGCAAUAAUAAUAAUAAUAAUAAUAAUUUAUUAUUUGUACCCUGCCCACUGGCUGGGUUUCCCCAGCCACUCUGGGUGGCUUCCACAGAGACCAAAAAUACAUUAAAAUGUCACACAUUAAAAACUUCCCUGAACAGGGCUGCCUUAAGAUGUCUUCUGAAUGUCAGGUAGUUGUUUAUCGCUUUGACAUCUGAUGGGAGGGAGUUCCACAGGGCGGGCACCACUACUGUACUUCUUGAGACAAUAAAUUAUUAUUUUUUAAAAUGCCAAGAAACAAACAAACCAGCCAUAUUCCUUCUCAGGCUAUACAGCAAAAUGAUUUAUUAUUAUUUUUUGACCCACACAGACCUGACGGCUUCAACACAUUGCUUAAAAUUGCUUUAAUAUUCAGUCUAAACCAGCCUGCUUGCUAUUUGGUGACAUUUUACUUGGUCAUAAUAGAGGAUCCACCUGUGCUGGGCCCGGGGGUAACCCGUGAAACACGGUCCCGGUCCGGUCCAAAAUCCAAAGGUUCUGCUGGGAGUCAGUCCGACGGGGCCAAGGCAGGACACGAGGCAGGAAACCAGGCAAAGACAGGUACAGGAUCUCAGGCAGGAUCUAGCAUACAACAAUGUUCCCGCAACCUGGGGCGCUGUCCGACAGCCUUUUAUCUUUGUUGGGGUAGUGGCCGGUCCUGAUCCCCCAGAGACUCACCUCCCUGUUUCGCCCAAAGGCGAGCACUCCUCCUGCGAGUACUCAGGUCUCUCCUUCUCUCAGGCCUUAGUCUGCAGCUCAGGAGACGUCGGUGGGUUACUAGACCCAGGGGCCGCCUCAGCCUCCCCUGACCCAACCGGUAGUGGAGCAGCUGUAAGUGAUGGCCCAGCUGAAAGCAACAAGGUUAUCCCCAUAUCUGGAGCCAGGGCAGGCUCCGGCCCCUGACUCGGCCCAGCUGGUGUUUGUUGCAGGGGAACCUGUGCAGACUGGGACUCUUCAGAAUCAGGCCUCAGACUUGGUUCAGAUGAUGCCUGAGGCAAAGGAUCCAGUGCAGACUGAGUCUCCUCUGGUUCCGAGUCCGAGUCCCAGACCAUCACCCCCCCCAAAAAAAAAUAAUGGCAGCCAUGCAUACGACCCAUUCCUUUGCUUAGCAUAUACAGCACCUCCACAUGAUUGACACACUGCAUCCCAAGAAAUGACAUCAUUCGUCUUUCUGUGAUCAGGGCUGUCUUUACCUUGGGGGUGCAAGGGGUGCGGGCACCUGGGGGCCGAAUUCUGGGGGGCGCCAAAUGUAUACCUACUGUAUACCGGUCCCUCUCGAUUGGUGGCAGUGAAAAGCAAUGGAUCAAAAGUCCCCCUCCCCACCUCUGUUACUCUGUAGCGUCAAAUAUUCCUACCGAGUCAGGAAACAAAAGCAGUUUUUUCAGCUGUGUCGUUGUUACAGGUGAGUGAUCCCCCCCCCCAAACAACUUUGGCUUCGCCCCUCCCCCCCAAAAUCUCAAUAAAAGUUAAUUUUGGGGUGGCUAAACUAAAUUUGGGGGCGCCGGACAGAUCUUUGCACCCCAGCAGCACAUAUGCUAAAGACGGCCCUGUCUGUGAUACAGUGGUGCCCCGCAAGACGAAUGCCUCGCAAGACGGAAAACUCGCUAGACGACAGAGUUUUCCGUUUUGGAGGUGCUUCGCAAAACGAAGCUCCUAUGGGCUUGCUUCGCAAGACGAAAAUGUCUUGCGAGUUCCUGCGGUUUUUUUUCCCUUCCCCCCCCCUUUUUCUAAGCCAUUAAGCCACUUAUCUGCUUAUCCGAUAAACUGAUAAGCCGCUAAAAGCCACUAAUAGCGCUAAUAGCGCUAAUCCGCUAAUCCGUCAAUGGGCUUGCUUCGCAAGACGAAAAAACCGCUAGACGAAGAGACUCACAGAACGGAUUCUUUUCGUCUUGCGAGGCACCACUGUAUAAGCAUUCGUGCUUUGUCCCUGGAGUGCUUCUGCUCCACUACACCACUGGAAGCGAUGUGGUCAUCCACUAUGUUUCUGUGCAGAGUAGGAAUGUGCCCAUUUUGGUUCUCUCCAUUUCCCAGUUCUCCGUAUUUUGCAGCAACUUAUGGUGGUGGUGUUGUUUUUUUAAAAAAAAUCCUCAUGAAAACUCAUCAGCAUGUUAGCGUGAACUUUUCCCAAUGAACACUUUUAUACACAGCUUUGACUAAUGCACACAUUCUCGCAAAUGGCUUCCCCUUUUUACAAUGCAUUCUUAUAUGCCGUUUUCACUAACAUCUUCACUCCUGUGCACCCUUUCCCCCCAACAUUUGCAUUUUUGUAAACAUUGGUUGGAGAACUGCAUUGCAAAAUUUGGAUAGAUAUGGAUAGCUGUGUUUUGGUUUGCAUAGUGUUUUGGAGCGUGCAAAUUUGGCAAGAUUCAGCUUUAAAUGAAUAGAGUUUCUCCUGCAUCCCUAUUGCAGAGACAUGGUGCUGUUAGACACCUCUUGCGUUGGAGGCUGGGUCACCAAGGGAUCUCAGGAAGAUCAAAGCUCACCUGGAUGACUUGUGUUCACUUCUGGAUGCGGCAGUUUAAGGAGGAUCUCAAGAAACGAAUGCUUCCAGAGAAGUGUGAUAAUGAUGACGAGGGGCCUGGAGUCAAAAUCCUAUGGGGGGAAAGUUGAAGAAGUUGAGUAUGUUUACUGUGGGGACAAGAGACAAUUCAGAUGCCAUAUGAGAGCUAACUUUGAAUAUCUGAAGGGUCGUCAUACAGAGGGUAGGACCUGAACCAGCAAGUUCAAAUUACAAGGGUGUAGAGCAUGGGUAGGCAAACUAAGGCCCGGGGGCCGGAUCCGGCCCAGUCGCCUUCUAAAUCUGGCCCGCGGGCGGUCCAGGAAUCAGCAUGUUUUUACAUGAGUAGAAUGUGUGCUUUUAUUUAAAAUGCAUCUCUGGGUUAUUGGGGAGAGCAUAGGAAUUCGUUCAUUCCCCCCCCAAAAAAAAUAUUAUCCGGCCCCCCACAAGGACUGAGGGACAGUGGACCAGCCCCCUGCUGAAAAAGUUUGCAGACUAAACACGACUAAACAAGAGGAAGAACUUCUUGGUGGUGUGAGCUGUGGAACAGGCAAGCUCUGACAUAGCCUCCAAGUCAAAGCUUGCAUUGCUCCGGGAGGAGAUCAACUGAUGUGGUCAAAUCCAGUUCCAACCCAAAGACCACUCCUGAAAUUGGCCCACUCUGACCUGAACCAACUAGAAAGCAAUGACCAAUAGCUCCAUAUUUCCUUCCUCCAGUGUUGAGCUCUAUUAAGUUCUUACUGUUAGCACUGGGCUGUUAGCUUAAAUUUUGUAGCUUCUGGCUGUCCACAAAUUGAAUUCUCAGGGUAAAGGAAGAAUCUUAGGCAGAAGAUACAAACAGCUGCUUUUAUCACUGAACUGUGUCAGCCCUUUGGAGCACGGCUGGAAGUGUUCCAUCUGAAACUAAUGGCACCUGAAACUGAUACAGUCAAAAUGCAUUCUUUGACUUCCAUAUAUUUUUAAUGAGGUGCUUUCAGCUUUCAAUUAGGUGGUGCCAGCAGAGGUAGCCCUUAUUCAAAUAUCCCCCAACCCCAGUACCUUGGGGUGACCUAUGGUGUACAUAAACUGCUGCCCAAAACUUUUAGGUUGCAUAUACCAUGGCAGAGAUUUGAAUCAAUGUAAUUAAAAGGUUUCUCUCUAAAUAGAUCUGGGUUUUCCCUCUUUUCUGCCUCAUUGUUUUAUUUCAGCGAGAACCACAAAGCUCAACAGCAUAUGUGACGUCUCCUUAGAUAUGGUUUUGAUGUGCUGUUUGAUUAACUUGUUUCCUAAGAAUGUAAGAAAAGUCCUGUUGGAUCAGAUCGUUGGCCCAUUUCAUUCAGCAACCUGCCAUAGCUGUCAAGUGUCCCUUAUUUGAAGGGACAGUCCCUUAUUCCAGUGCCAUGUCCCGCUGCUGUCCCUUAUUGAUAGAUGUCCCUUGAAUGUCCCUUAAAUGAUGUCCCUUAAAUUUCAAAGGAAGCAGCUCCUCUCCCUCCCUCCCUGCCGGCCAGGGAGGUGGGAGGCUCCAACUGUGUUGCUUGGCUGUGUUGCUCACCCAAUAAGAAGUCUAAGAACAACUGGGGGGUGGAGCUUGUAUGCCUUGUGUGUGGCUAGUUAAUGCAAGCUGAGAGAGUUUUUGAAUGCUGGACGCCAUUUUGUUGCACGUGCUGCUGCAAACUUUGCAGUGCAAAGCCAGGCCGGGGAGCCAUCUUAAGUUGAGGCUGCAUAGGCCUUGUGGUGCAUGUGAUUCAGAUUCUAUUCAGUUGAACCUCUGGUUACAAAGUUGGUUGGACAGUGUUCUCGAAGCUACCAGCAUGAGUUUGACCAGACUGUAGGAGGACAGGAAGACUGGAGUGCCUGGAACAGGUGAGGCUGCAGGUCCCUUAUUUUGGCUGCUGGUCCCUUAUUUUCAAGGCUGCUGGUCCCUUAUUUUCAAAUCUGUAAGUUGACAGCUAUGCAACCUGCCCCUGGGAAGCCCACAAACAACACCCAGGUCUCUGCUGGCGUUCUCUUACCAAAGAGUACCUACCCCAAACCUGGCUCUUAGCAUCUAGGAAUUCUCCUUUCUGUGGGGGAUUUUUUCCCCACUAACACAAAGCAGGUGGGAGGAGGCAGGCUGAGGGUAAGUGUGCUAUUGUGUUAAUUCACAAAAGCUGGGUCUGAAUUACCUUAAAGGCCACCUGAUUCAUAUGUUUCUCCUUGGCCACUGAGGUCUUCUGAUGGAGAAUGGUGGCCUCACAUGCCCCUGAGGUUUACCAGGGACCAAGGCUUUAGUGUGACAGGCCACCUGUCCUUUGGAACUCCUUGCCAGUGGAAGUUCAGCAGGAGCCAUCCCUGCUCGCUUUUAAAACUUGUAAAUCCUGAAGCUGAGGCUCCAAUACUUUGGCCACCUCAUGAGAAGAGAAGACUCCCUGGAAAAGACCCUGAUGCUGGGAAAGAUUGAGGGCUCAAGGAGAAGGGGACGACAGAAGACGAGAUGGUUGGACAGUGUUCUCGAAGCUACCAGCAUGAGUUUGACCAAGUUGCGGGAGGCAGUGGAAACAGGAGUGCCCGGUGUGCCUGUGUCCAUGGGAUCACGAAGAGUCGGACACGACUAAACAACGACAGUUAUUCAGACAGGUCUUUCAAACCUGAUAGGCUUUGCCACCUAGCCUUGACUGAUGUGUUUGACAUUUUUAAUUCUUUUUACUGUAUUACUGUGUUUUUGUUUGUUUGUACACCACCUUGUGAUAUUUUUACAUGAAAGUACAGUUUAUAAAUGCCUAAACAAAUAAAACAUACUGCAUUUUGAUUUAAUGUAAUUACUACUAACACUGAAUCUAUACAUAUAAAUUAAAAAGGUAAAGGUAAAGAACCCCUGACAGUUAAGUCCAGUCGCGAACGACUCUGGGGUUGCGGUGCUCAUCUCACUUUACUGGCCGAGAGAGCCAGCGUUUGUCCGCAGUUUUCCCGGAUCAUGUGGCCAGCAUGACUAAGCCGCUUCUGGCAAAACCAGAGCAGCGCACGGAAACACCAUUUACCUUCCCACCAGAGCGGUACCUAUUUAUCUACUUGCACUUUGAUAUGCUUUUGAACAGCUAGGUUGGCAGGAGCUGGGACCGAGCAAUGGGAGCUCACCCCGUUGCGGGGAUUCGAACCACUGAACUUCUGAUCAGCAAGCCCAAGAGGCUCAGUGGUUUCGACCACAGCGCCACUCGCGUCACACAUAUAAAAUAGGACCUGCAAAUUUCAUGUAUAGUUGUGCCCUUUUCAGUGGGGAUGCAUUUAUGUGUCUUCCUUUUGGUGAUAGUCACCUUCUUUUAUAAUAAGCUCAAUAGCCCCUACUGUUCAGCAUAAGACGGGUUGUGGGAGGCAAGUUGCCUUCCAGAAAACUUGCCUGCGAUGACUCAUCUCCUUACUGAUGAACCUUUUCUAAGCUUGGGGGGAAGCUUAAGGGUCCUUCGAACAUUGUUUGAAAAUGUCUGUCUUUGAUAUAACACCCAUCCUUCAAGCUGAUGAAGUUGCAUUGGAAGUGAAGCUUCGGAAUUUGCCUGCAUUGUAACACAUGAUUGACGUUUAUUGCCAUAGAAGAUGCAUUUUUUAAAAGUUGUUAGUGGCUGUUUUUAAAAAAAAUGUUGCUGAGAUUGGGAAAGGUAAAACUGCUGCUUAGACUUUAAUUUGGCUCUCAGGUUUACUGCCUCUCUCUCAAUGCCAAAAUAUAUUAUAUUUCAGCGUUCUAGUGUUGACUACCAACCUAUUUAAAUAUUCACCAGGAGCCCAUUGCCAAGAUAGAUUAAUUCAUGGCAUCGUGUCCUAGGCAAGCUGUCAAAUUGUCAGAAUUAUUUGAAUUGUCAGUGCCCUUUGUGACAAUGUCGUAGGGGAAGAAGCAAAGACUCCCUUGCAGUUGGAUGCAUCUCCAGGAAUAUAUUUGCCCCUUGUUUAUUUAGCAUCCCCAACCCCUGACUCAAAAGAAAACUGGAUGUGUUAACUGAUGCCACAAAAAGGUCAAAGCAUACUCCGAGUUGAAGCCUAUUUACAAACAUCCCUACAAGUAGAGGUGUUGAUGGAUACUUAAAAUCCACAGGGCACGGGUCCAUGGCAUAAGUUUGCAUAAAAUCAGCCUUCUGAGCAGAUUAAGACAGUGAGGCUGAGGUCUCACCUGCACUGCGCUCUGCAGUCUUGUGUUAAGUCAGCAGGUCGCGAGACUGUUCUUAGCUAUGGCCCCACUGAUCAAUUUGAAAUACUGUAUUUUUUGCUCUAUAAGACUCACUUUUUCCCUCCCAAAAAUAAGGGAAAAUGUGUGUGUAUCUUAUGGAGCGAAUGCAGGCUGCGCAGCUAUCCCAGAAGCCAGAACAGCAAGAGGGAUUACUGCUUUCACUGUGCAGUGAUCCCUCUUGCUGUUCUGGCUUCUGAGAUUCAGAAUAAUUUUUUUCUUGUUUUCCUCCUCCAAAAACUAGGUGUGUCUUGUGGUCUGGUGCGUCUUAUAGAGCAAAAAAUACAGUAUGUCCCUAGUGAAAAAUGAGUUCGAAGGGACGCGUUCCCCACUCCCCUUUUAGUGUUAUUCUUAAAGGCGGCAUGCUCAGAUUUCUAGCAUUUGUAGAAAUGAAUUGUAAACAGGCGAGUUGGUGACUGGGGAAACAUGAGGCCACCUUUGGAAGGUAGAUUAUAUUUCAACACAGGCUUGCACUUUCAGUAAACAAACAGUAGCAUUUUGCAUCUUAUUUCUUCUGUUGAGAAGUAUUUCCCCUGAUGAGCCCCAUUUUUGCAUUCAUCUUAAGCAGGCUUCUCAAUAAAAGAUCAUUAUCCCUCUUUCUUUCUUUCUUUCUUUCUUUCUUUCUUUCUUUCUUUCUUUCUCCUUCCCACUUCUCUCUCUCUCUCCCUCCACCAACCUCACAAUGCAUAUGGCAGCAAAGUCUCACAUUGAAUGUACUGACAUGUAGAAAGGACUCUAUGAACUGAAAACGUUGAUACCCUCCAACAUUUCUCCAAUGAAAUAGCGGCAUCCUAAGGAAAAGCGGGACAUUCCAAGAUCAAAUCAGAAACCAGGACGGCUUCUGUAAAUAUGGGACUCUCCCUGGAAAAUAUGGACAUUUGGAGGGUCUGGACUUUAUAUGUACCUUUGUCAUCCAUUAAAAUCUUUUUUUUUAAAGAAAGAAAAACAACAACACAAACCUUAGGAGUGCAAAGACACCAUUUGAACUUCCUACAAAUGAAGUUCCUUGCCACCUCCUCACAUUUCUCCCAUUAGAGUUAAUUGCUUAACAUCUUCAGGUGAUUAGCACCUCCUCAAGGGGGUUACAUGAAAGAGACCAUGGAGACAAGAGUGGGAUGGAUGUCUUAGGGAAGCAGGAUAGCUAGAGAUGGUUAGGCCAGGUCAAACGCUGAGUGUUGAAUCAUUUCCUGGGGUAUCAGGUGGUGGUUGACUUGCCCACAUCUCCAGAGGCAUUCUAUGUUGCUGUGUUGAAAGCAACCAUCUUACUUGGUACUGGAGCUUGAAGUGAAAAGAAGUUUAGCAAUAAAAUAAAAUCAGAAUUUACCUGUCAGGGAUCAGGAGUCAGAUGUCUCUUCAGCGGGUGAUGGAGGUGAGGGCUCCACACCUGAGGGGGAAAGGGCACUAUCCUCUGGCUCGCAGGUCUCUGCUUGCAAUGUUCUCUGUUUAACGAUGGUUCUAGUUAGAGGUAGGUAGCCGUGUUGGUCUGCCGUAGUCGAAACAAAAUAAAAUUAAAAUAAAAACAUAAAAAAAUUCCUUCCAGUAGCACCUCAGAGACCAACUAAGUUAGUUAUUGGUAUGAGCUUUCGUGUGCAUGUACACUUAAGUAUCUGAAGAAGUGUGCAUGCACACGAAAGCUCAUAUCAAUAACUAACUUAAGGUAAAGGUAAAGGUAAAGGGACCCCUGACCAUUAGGUCCAGUCGUGACCGACUCUGAGGUUGCGGCGCUCAUCUCGCUUUAUUGGCCGAGGGAGCCAGCAUACAGCUUCCAGGUCAUGUGACUAGCAUGACUAAACCGCUUCUGGCGAACCAGAUUAGCGCACAGAAACGCCGUUUACCUUCCCGCCAGAGCGGUACCUAUUCAUCUACUUGCACUUUGAUGUGCUUUCAAACUGCUAGGUUGGCAGGAGCAGGGACCGAGCAACGGGAGCUCACCCCGGCGUGGGGAUUCAAACCGCCGACCUUCUAAUCGGCAAGUCCUAGGCUCUGUGGUUUAACCCACAGCACCACCCGCAUCCCUUAGUUGGUCUCUAAGGUGCUACUGGAAGGAAUUUUUAAUAUAUUUUUUAAUGAUGGUCAGGUCAGAGAAGUUGAACAAUAAAGAGUUUUAUUAAAUAACUAUGUACACCUUGCCUUUUCUCCCUCGGCUACUUUCUCCUCUGCUUCCCACCCUUGCUUGGUCCUUAUCUCCUGAAGUAACUCAUACCCUCCCACACCUUGAAGCCAAAUUCCACUACGCCAUCUUUCCAGUUGCCAUCUUCCACGUCACGGUCCCACUGCCCAAAAAGCGUUUUCUUUAGGUAUGGUGCACAAAACGUGUGUUUUGUGGCACCGCAUGAGACUGCAGCCCUGAAAAAGCGCUUUUUCCAUGGGGAAAUUGCACAAGAUCACAGCAACAAAAAUGGCUGCCAUUCUCUCACAAAAAAGGGAUGUCCUGGGAAAAAAACCUUGCAGGAUAUGCUAACUGUGUGAGAUGCCCCUAAAGGUAUAGACUGCUGCAGAAGACCUGAGGGUUCUCAGAAAAAACAUAAUAAAGCCUUUUCUCAAGAAAAAACAUAAUAAAGCCUUAAAAAAUAUUUUUGUGUCAUGCACCGUUAACGAAAUACACCUGUUUGUGUAUUAAAUUUGCUUACUAUUUAAAUACAGUGGUGCCUCGCAAGACGAAAAGAAUCCGUUCCGCGAGUCUCUUCGUCUUGCGGUUUUUUCAUCUUGCGAAGCAAGCCCAUUAGCGGUUUAGCGGAUUAGCGCUAUUAGCGGCUUAGCGGGCUUAGCGGAUCAGCUGAUAAGCGGCUUAGCGGCUUAGCGGAUCAGCUGAUAAGCCGCUUACUGGCCGAGGGAUCAGCUGUUAGCGGCUAGCGGAUCCGCUGAUAAGCGGCGUAGCGAUCAGCUGUUAAGCGGCUUAGCGGCUUAGCGGAUCAGCUGAUACGCGGCUUAGCGGCUUGGGGAAAAGGGGGGGGGGAGGAAAAAACCCCCGCAGGAACUCGCAAGACAUUUUCGUCUUGCGAAGCAAGCCCAUAGGAAAUUCGUUUUGCGAAGCACCUCCAAAACGGAAAACCCUUUCGUCUAGCGGGUUUUCCGUCUUGCGAGGCAUUCAUCUUGCGGGGCACCACUGUAUAUUAAAUCUAUGUUUAAAGUUAUAUUCUAUUAAGUUUCAAUCUUUUUAACAUAUACAAUCAAAACAUUAUAACCAAAACAUUAUAAUCAAAACAUAUAAAUACAUUAAAUCUCUUAAUUGUGCAGUUAACAAUAUAUAUUAAAUAUAUCAAUUGUAUAUGAAAUAAUAGUAAAUAUAUUGCGAACACUUUACAAUAUGGAAAUUCAGUUCAGUGUGUGGCCUGCAGGUUCUGUGGUGAAGUACUCUUGCAGCCCACUUGGCAUGAAAAACGUUGGACUGCCCUGUAACAUCUUAUAGCUCAGGUGAUGUUAACCAUCAGCCUGCACCUGGUGCUAUUACUAUGUAAGGUCUCAGUUUCAGCUUCUUGCUAGAGCAGCUUGUGAUUCCUACAGGACAGCCUUAACUUCACCUGACCCUGUGCCUCAGUUGAGGCUUGCCACAGAACAGCACAUUAGCCCGAUUCAGAAUUUCAUCCUUCUGACUUUUGACUAUGAAAUCCUGAAUUUGAAAUUCAAGGUGGCUGGGGCUGGUGGGAAUUAUUGUGUGGAACAUCUGGAGAAUGCCAGGUUGACUGACUUAGACCAGGUGUCCUCAAUCUCGACCCUCCAGAUGUUUUGAGACUACAAUUCCCAUGAUCCCUAGCUAGCUAAGGAUCAUGGGAGUUGUAGGCCAAGUGUAACAGAAGGUCCAAGGCCUGCCUUGGACCUUCUGUUACACUUGGUUUUUAGUAUGGUUAUUUUGCACUGGUUUUAGGACAGUUUGUUAUGUUCGAAAUGCAAUGAAAUAGCUAGUUUUAUUGGGUUUUACACCAGCGUUAUGAUUGAUUUGUUGAUAUUGUAUAUAUUGUUGUAAAGUGCUGUGGGAAAUAUGCACUGGAAAGCAGUCUAUAUAAAUUACUUAAUUUUUAUUUAUUUUGAAGAAUGUGAAAUUUUGUCCCAAAAGAUCAGUGCUGGCAUCUCUUUGUUGUUUUGCAUUUGGCAGGGAAUCUCACGAACUGUCACUUGUCAGAUACUGUCAAAUAUUGAAAUCAACUGUCUACCACAGAUUCCAGACUGUUGCUAUAUUUUGGGGUGGGAUUUGAUCACAUACCAGGAAAUUCAGGUUGUGUGCAAUUGAAGUUGCUUUGACACUCUUGUACAACAAACUGACACACACACACACACACACAGAGAGAGAGAGAGAGAGAGAGAGAGAGAUACUUGCCUUGGCCCAACAUCAUCUAACCUCCCUGCAGACAAAUCAGAAUGAAUACUGAAUAAAUAGCUGUCGUCAUCUAAGCUCCCUGCAAACUUUGUGCAAGUGAAUAAGGGUGAAUGCUUAAUAAGCAGGUUGUCUGGAAGUGACCUAAAUUACCAGUUUAUUUUCUUCCUUACCAAGGGGAUGGGUAAAGAUAUAGCUGGGGAAUGAAGCAAGGAGGGGAAAAAUUACAGAAGUGCAGUGAAAACCCUCUGGCUGCAUGAAUCUCUGCCCUGUUUAUGUCAGAAGCUGCACCAAAUUAAGGCUAUAAUCAUUCAUUCCUGUUAUAUUGCCCCAGUUUCAUCAUCUGGCAUUUUCUUCUUAGGUAACCCUACUAAACCUAGCAGGUUAACCCUGUUUUGCAUUAAAACUCUGCUUCUUUGUGAUAACUUCCAUCUCUAUAAGGCUCUCUAGCAACAAAAUCUAAACCUGAACGAUGUUAUUGACCAUCCUAAAGAAAGCAUUUUAUUUAUUUGUUUCACUUAUACUUCACUUUUCCUCUAAGAAACUCAGACCAUGAGGCAAAUCUCCAAGUAAGUUGUUCUCAGAGUAAACCCACUGAUUUUAGUGGUUCUACUCUGAAUAUGGCUAACAUUGAAUCUCACCCAAGGUGGUCUCUGCUCUAAGUGGAUUAUAGAGCCAGAUCUCCUGAGCACAUUUUGGGGAUGGGAUUCACAGGUCAGCAGAGGCAAAUUAGGCCCCUCACUUUUAAAGAACUGGGGUUUGGAUAAGGGCUAGCAAGCUAAAUGGACCAGUGGCCUGGCUCCAAUAUUCGGGCCUGGCAACCUUGGCAGUGAUUUUCUAAAUUAUAAAAGCUAUUGCCUUCCUUUGUCCCUCACCCUUCUUCCCUCAAGACCCUUGUUAUUCUAACAACAGCUAUUUAAAAUGGUUGUUUUUGCGAUCGCUAUUAGCACUUCAGACUUGCAGGUCUUGAGUCCUUGUAUUUGUUUCUGAACCGGUUACUGGUUUGGAAGCUGAAUCAGGACUCAGAUCUUGGAUUGUUCCUCUUUUGUGAUGGAAUAACGCUGCCCACGAAAGCCCACUUUGCUGAGUUCCUGAGGUGGUCUGCAUCUCUCCCUCCUGGAACUAGAUUGCUUCUGCAACGACUGAAAUGGCAAACUUGCAUUUGUCAGCAAUGGCGAGAAGCUAGGGCACUUGGAGAUCAGAUCUCUUUGCUAAGGAGGAACGAUUUUUGAACAGGCACUUUUCCCAUCUGGCAGGAGCAUCCUCCCUUCUUCUUCCUGCCACCCUCCCAGAUCGCAAUUCUCCCCUGCCCUGUUUUGCAUCUCAAGCGCCAUAAUGCAGAAGAAUGCAUCUGAAAGUGACAAGGGAGCCUGUAUGCUGGAACGCCGCCUUCCACGCAAGGAAUAUAUUAUAAAUGGCCUGCAGUGACUCUAAAUGGAUUACGGAGCCCACUUCCAAAGCGCCGAGCUGUCCCGCAAGCUGCUCUUGCGCUAUUGCAUAUGAUGUUACUUUUAUGGAUUACACUGUGUAAUUGCUCAUCUGAUUGAAUUACUUUUAUCAAAGCACUCUGUGCCGAACAAUGCGGCUAGGUCAGGGGAGGCUAAAAAUAGAUUGGGAGAGCAGAGAGUUAAUUAGAUUCUAUGAAUGCGAGAAGAAGGGAGUCAAUCCUACAGCCUUUAAGGCAGGGGUAGGCAACCUAAGGCCCGUGGGCUGGAUGCGGCCCAAUCGCCUUCUCAGUCCGGCCCACGGACGGUCCAGGAAUCAGUGUGUUUUUACAUGAGUAGAAUGUGUGCUUUUAUUUAAAAUGCAUCUCUGGGUUAUUUGUGGGGCAUAGGAUUUCGUUCAUCCCCCCCCCCCCAAAUAUAGUCUGGCCCACCACAUGUUCUGAGGGACAGUGGCCCACGGCUGAAAAAGGUUGCUGACCCCUGCUUUAAGGGGAAGCCCAUGGCUCAGUGGCAGAGCAGAAGACCCUAGGUUCAAUCCCUGCCAUUUCCAGUUAAAAAGGGACCCCUGACCAUUAGGUCCAGUCAUGACCGACUCUGGGGUUGCGGCGCUCAUCUCGCUUUAUUGGCCGAGGGAGCCGGAGUACAGCUUCCGGGUCAUGUGGCCAGCAUGACUAAGCCGCUUCUGGCAAACCAGAGCAGCACACGGAAACGCCGUUUACCUUCCCGCCAGAGUGGUACCUAUUUAUCUACUUGCACUUUGACGUGCUUUCGAACUGCUAGGUGGGCAGGAGCAGGGACCGAGCAACGGGAGCUCACCCCGGCACGGGGAUUCGAACUGCUGACCUUCUGAUCGGCAAGUCCUAGGCUCUGUGGUUUAACCCACAGCGCCACCCGCGUCAUUUCCAGUUAGGGUUGGGAAAAACUUCUGCCUGAAACCCUGGAUAGUUGCUAUAUUGAACUAUCACUUUAAGCUAUAAUGAGCUUGAUGAAUCAAUGGUCCAUCUCAGCAGAAGGCAGCUUCCUAUAUUCCUUUGUUAGUACAGUGGUACCUCAGGUCACAUAUGCUUCAGGUUACAGACGCUUCAGGUUACAGACUCCGCUAACCCAGAAAUAGUACCUUGGGUUAAGAACUUUGCUUCAGGAUGAGAACAGAAAUCGUGCAGCAGCGGUGCAGCGGCAGCAGGAGGCCCCAUUAGCUGAAGUGGUGCUUCAGGUUAAGAACAGUUUCAAGUUAAGAACGGAUCUCUGGAAUGAAUUAAGUAGUUAACCCGAGGUACCACUGAACCUCAUGAAGAUGCCAUAGAAAUAGCCACAGAGCAGAUGGGAGCCUGUACUCUGAAUGAUGUGGUGGUUACACUACGGUUGUCACCUCAUGAAAGAAAUGUUGGUCUCUUCAUCAAUUUUGCUUUAAUCAAAAUCCACACACAUUCAAAUGUCUCAGCCUACAGUUUUGAAGGGAAACCGAAUCUUUCUUGUAAAUGGUUAAAGUUGUUGGGUAUUCUCUCUGUGUGAGAGAGAAUCAUUUGUUUCAGAAACGGAGAAGAACAGAGAAGAAGUUCGAAGAAGCAGCAGAAGGCGGAGAUUGUUUUGUCUAUGCAAGGACGUUUUCUGUGGGAACUGUUCUUUGGAUAUGGUCAGUGUGACAGGAAGUACUGAUAACAAUGUGAUAACUUGUGAGUCUCUUGCUUGUGCCUUGCGGUGAGAGAAGCAGAGUCUUGGACUCUAAGCAAUGCUUUGACCACGGCAGUGGUGAAUGUCGGCAUAUAUUUGGUACCAAUAUGCUUUUAUGCCUGUCAAGUCAGCUUCUACGCUUGACUGAAUCGUUAUGGCGUCCAGGAGUGUUUAUUGCAUACUGUGUGUACCUACAACCUUGAAGACACUCCCAAGGAAGGAGCUGCGUUGAGAUGUAACUCUGCUGAGUAUGGAUACUGGCACACACACACAUAGCAAAAGUGAUGCUGGACCCAAUCCUUCUAAAUCAUCCAUCAGAGGCUGAUGGAUUGAUCCAGCACAGGUUUGUGGCAGCGGAUGCCAUCUUAGACGAGCCCGUUCUUCCUGUGUGAGAGAAUGAAGGCGAGGCAGCAGGUGGGGAUGCCUCUUCUAAAAUGGAGGCUGUCACCGGCAGUUUCUAGAAGUGCUUUUAUGAGGGUGGUUUCUUUCUUCUUUCUUUUACAAACCAGGUUGCCCUAUACAGUGGUACCUUGGGUUAAGAACUUAAUUCGUUCCGGAGAUCCGUUCUUAACCUGAAACUGUUCUUAACCUGAGGUACCACUUUGGCUAAUAGGGCCUCCCGCUGCUGCCGCGCCGCUGCCACACGAUUUCUGUUCUCAUCCUGAAGCAAAAUUAUUAACCUGAGGUACUAUUUCUGGGUUAGCGGAGUCUGUAACCUGAAGCGUCUGUAACCUGAAGCAUCUGUAACCCGAGGUGCCACUGUAUAUGCAUUCCUUUUCUGUGCUGUUAAAUUUACACACAUUACAGUCAUACCUCGUGUUACGUUUGCUUCAUGUUGCAGCUUUUCAGGUUACGAAUGCGGCAAACCUGGAAGUGUUUACUUCUGGGUUCGCCGCACACGCAGAAGUGCUCUAUCGCGCUUCACGCAUGCGCAGUAGCGGCACUCUACUUACGGACUUUUCGGGGUGCAAACGGCACCCCGAAAUGGAUUACGUUCGUAAGUAGAGGCACCACAUAAACAGAACCAGGAGAUGGAAAUGUGCACAAUCCUAAUUGUCAUCAUUACGUAAUUCUCAUUAUUAUAAUUGCAUUUAUAUAAUUGCUUUGAUUUUUCUGUUGUAUAGAUAUUAUGCUAUGGAGUAGCAUUUGUGUUCUGAGUUGCAAACUACCCUUUGAUCUUUUGACAAAGGAGUGCUGAGCCAAUUCUGAUGUGGUUGUGGCAUCUAUCCAGCUGUCAGCACAAUAAGGAUGGUGUCAGCCUUUGCACUGAGCUUCCUUUGCCACUUUGGUUCAUGACCUGAGUGUUACUUAAACUUGAGAAGUGAAGCUAUUACCAGGCUCUGUAAGGUAAGCCAAGGAGACAGUGUGCAUUACCCCCUAAUAUUUAAUGAAGUCUCAGUCCGUUUACAUCCCACACCUGCUAUGUUCUUCUUUGUCGGUUUAACCAUUAUGGCCUCCAUGUCGGCAGGUACCCCAUAGCCCCUCAUUAGGCACAUACAUUUCCACACCUCCUCUCCUGACUUGUAUUGGUCCUCCCCACCCAACUCUCCUGAUAAGCCAGUGUAUCAACCUGCCUGUUAAUUACUAUCAACAGACGAGGCUCUCUUGAUGGUACCUGCUCUGAGUGAGGUGUGCAGUGUGAGGGACCUAUAGAAGAGUCUUUUCAGUGUUGGCCCCACAGCUGUGGAACAAUCUCCCCACUGACAUGGACCUUGUUUCUGUAGUGUAUUUGUUUUGGCACCUCGAAGCAAUAAGAUGAAUUAAAACUGACUCCUCUUGGAAUAAAAAUGGUCCAGGCCCAUAAAUAUGAUUCAAAAGCUUUACUAACACAACUGGUUCCAAAAACAGAUACAAAAAGAAAUCAUGAUACAUCCACCUAAUUAUAUAAUGUCAUGUGCAUGUCCAGCACAGUUUCAUCCUCUUACAAAUUUGAAGUAACUCCUAGCAGACCUAAAAUUAGAGGCCUGUCUCUCCCCACAGCCUCCAUUAGCCUGGAGCUAUUUUCUCUCCAGGAGAGACCUCAUUAUCACAUCCUUUGUUCCCUGUGGCUUCCAGAGGAAAAAAAGACAACUCCCUUCAAAAUGGUGAUUUGAAACUGAAUAACCCUCUCACAUGAUCUAAAGUUAAACACCAUGUGAAAGAGCAGAGAACAUCAACCGUUAAUUGUCAACCAGUCAGGUGCCCAGAGAGCUCUUGUUAGUUUUAGUAUAGCCCAAUUGAAUUUACCAUGGCAAACCUUCAGCAACACUUAUUCAAACACACACAGGGUUAUUUGCCGUUUCAUUGUCAAUUAAACAAUUAUACUUAACAGUGAAGACACACCUCUCUCACCAAUCUUUUAGCAGUGGAAAGGUGUGAUGGGUGAAGUCAGUUUUAGUAUGACGCUGCUACUUUAAUAGUUAUGGAGGUAUUUUACGUGACUCUGUUCUAACAAUUGUAUUAUGCAUUGUGUUUUGUUGCAUUUACUUUACAGUGCUUUGCGGCUCCUGUUGUGAAAAGCAAUGUAAAAUAUAUGAAUAAAUAAAUGUUGUACUUUCCAUCCGCCACAAAUAUCUACAAUUCACUGUCAUAACACAUGUUGUAAAUAAAAAUAUGCCCUUUUCCCUUAUGGGGUAUCCAAGAGCCCAUAUAGAGUCCUUACAUAGGUUCCCUAUUGGUAGGAGAAAAUAACAGAGGCCAACCAGAGAAUAUUGAGAAGCAAAGCAGCUAGUAAGCCUGAUCUUUAUUGAUCUGUUGCAACAGGGUGCUCCCCUCACUCGAAGGAAAGGAGGAGGACCCACAAAAAUGCUGUGCAAGGGCUUAUAAAGACUUUUGAAAUUCCCAUCCUGUAGAUCAAGACCACCCCCAGAAACAUUAUACAUACAUCACAGAAGGGGUGUAACCUAAGACCACCCCUCAGAUACAUCACAGAAAAGGCGGUCUGAAACAGAAUAUUUGCAUGUUGUUUUUCUCCUGUCGCUUUUUUAUUUCCUGUCUGGCAGGUUACUUGAUUGGAUUGCCUGAGGAGCCUGGCCAGUCUUUUGUAAUGAUAAGGCUCACACCCUUAUUCAAACACAGACAUACCCUUAAGACAGGAUAUGUGAAGGAAAAGACAAUGGGGAGGUUUUUCCACUUUGACCAUGCAGAGAAACAUUUGCUCAGUUUAGGAAUCAAAAAUGGCUUCAGGUCAGUCUUCCUGUGCUUGAUCUAUGUACGUGCAGUUAUGAACAUUACCAUAUAUCUAAGACCAUAAAAUUCCUAUCACACACAUCAGUUGAAGUCAUUUGGGUCAGUUUUCCAUAUGAAGAUCACCACCAUCCUUCUUGGACUUAUUAAAUUACAGUAAUUAUUACUGUUUUUGAAUUGGCAUAGGCAAAUUUUAUGCAAAUCUCUGCCAACUUUUUUUCUGCUGACCUGUUAAGUGGGCACCCUGUAUGCAAUCAUACCCAUGUCUACUCAGAAGUAAGAUAGAGUAGAUCAGGCCUCGCUCCCCUGGUACUGGUCCAUGUGCAUAGUAAUGCAGCUGGAAUAACACUGCAAAGAAAUGCUCUGAUGUCAAUUUUUGUUAAAUGUAUGCUUUUUUAAAAAAAGUUAGCUUGUAAGAUAUAUCUUUUCUUCUAUUUCUUAGGCAUAUAAUCAACUCCCUCUCUAUUUAGAGCAUCCAGUUAUAAAAUGCUCUUAUUUUAGUAUUUUAGAUCUCUUUUCCAGAUGUUCUGUUUUAUUGACGCAACUUUCAGCCAUAGAACAGGGCCUUGGAUCCAGAGAAGCUUGUGUACAUGUCAGGGGCUGGUCAGAGGAGAAUACCUCCCCAGCCUGACCCUUCUGGAGAAGAAGAAGACAGCAGUUCAGAAUUACAACAGGGGUUUGAGGGAGGUCACAGCUCAGAGGCAGAAGAGGGAAAAGCUGGGAAAUAAUGGGAGAAGAGGAAUCACUAGGAGUGCAACAGCCGACAGACACAGUGCCUUUAGAAAGAAUUCCAGACUCCCCCUCCCAGAACCUGGAGAGCCUUGAAAAUACAGUGGUACCUCGGGUUAAGUACUUAAUUCGUUCUGGAGGUCCGUUCUUCACCUGAAACUGUUCUUAACCUGAGGUACCACUUUAGCUAAUGGGGCCUCCCACUGCCGCCGCCGCCGUGCGAUUUCUGUUCUCAUCCUGAAGCAAAGUUCUUAACCCAAAGUACUAUUUCUGAGUUAGCGUAAGGUUACCAGAUUUUUUCAAUGAAUCCGGGGACUCUUUUCAGCUUCAAUGGAUUUUGUAUGGGGACUGAUUUGUAAAUCCGGGGACUGUCCCCGGGAAAUGGGGACAUCUGGUAACUUUAGGUUAGCGGAGUCUGUAACCUGAAGCAUCUGUAACCUGAAGUGUCUGUAACCCAAGGUACCACUGUACAUGAAAUGUGCAACAAACACAAUCCUUAAAACCGCAAGAGCCCUUCGGAGUCUGAAAGCGCUGCUACACUUCCCUGCAUGUGCACUGCUUUUCAUCUUAAGAGUUUUAGAGUUGAAAGGGAUCUCUAGCCCAGGCUUCCUCAACCAUGGCCCUCCAGAUGUUUUUGCCAACUGAGAGUCACAGUGAGCUGUCCUGAAGUCCAUUUGCAGGUGCAGUUUGGAUUCCAACCAUACCUGUAAAUGGACAAAGGAAGGCUUGGUGACAGCACCAAUCAGCAGAUCAGCACUGACAGGCAACUCUUUCAGCUGCAACAGGGAGUUUCCCAUGGGGAAUUCCUUAGUGCAGCCAGUCCCAGUGGGGUUCGCUGAUCGGAACAACUUGGGGCUCACUUUAAGCUCCCAGUUGGUCCUUUGUAGCCAAUAUGAUGUCAAGUAUGAUACAGGUGGGUGGGUGGGAGGUUUGGGGGGGUGGAACAGCCUUGUGGGCCCAAAUGAGGGCCAUGCUGGCUUGAUCUUCAGUUUUUAAUUUGGCCAGUGAAUUUCGCCUAGGGGUCUCAAAAGAGGACAAAUCCCAUUUACACUUUGGUUUCCUUGAAAGGCAAGCAGUCUAGUUUUUGACGGGAACACUGUGCCCAUUCGGUUGAGGACUGGAUUUGGAGGUUGAAGCCACUGUAAUGAUCUGACCAAUGACUGGAUUGUGCCCAGAACGAAGUUCUUGAGGAGUCAGCUCAUACACCGGAAAAAGCGCUGUACGAAGGAGAUGACACAAACAUAUCACUGUUUCAACCUUGAAAGGGAUAUAUAUACAAACCACUUUACUUACAUAGCCUUUCCAUAGCAGAAAGCUUGUUACUUUAUAUGGGAAUUUCACCUUCUCCAGUGCAUGGUUUCUAUGUUAUAUAGAUAUGAUGCUAUAUAGUGGCAUUUGUGUUCUGUGUUGCAAACCACCCUGAGGUCUUUUGAGAAAGGGUAGGAUAUAAAUUUAAAAAUAAAUAAGCAAACUGAGUUGGCACUGAAAAUUUGCACAAUGACACCAUAUGCAGGGGGAAAGUGCCCUAUUUUCUGGCAGCCUAGUGGGGUGGAUUUGCAAUUUGCCCUAACAAAAGCAAACUAAGCAAAGGCAAUUGUGCUUUCUGAGGAUGGCAGUGAGAAAAUAUCGGAACUAGUCAUUGUCCUGCGGCAAGGUCACUGCCAAGACUAUUAAAUGUGCAUCUUAGAACAGAAUGCGGCUUAGCAGCUUUACGGCUCAGAUGCAAGGUCCUCAUCUGAUGUAGGUCAGCUCUUCCCAAAGGUAGCAUAUAUGUCGCUGUAUGCCUCUCUGCUUCGUAGCUGUUGUUUUUUAAAAAAAUCUCAGAGCUGGAAUAGCUGGAGAUGCUGAUUUAGUUCCAGAAAAACGCAAGGUUACUUCUGGUGGUAUAUGGAGGCUUUUCAGAUUUUAACUUCUAGCGGCAGCCCCGUGGAAAGUCUUCCCCCAAAGAUUCAAGGCCUUCUGGAACAGGACCUCAUGUGGUAAAACUGGCCAACAGCACUUCGCACAUGCAUUGUCAGGCGACAGUAAGCAACUCCCACGGCCGGGUGCCGGGAACGUACAAUACAAGGAAAAGUUCUUUCCAUCUGCUCUUCAUUCAAUAUUUACAGAGAGAGGCUUGGAACUCAGCCUCUUGGGAUAACGGCGUUGUCCUGGGUGACUCUCCAGCCUCCUUUUCUCCCACUGCUUCAUUUGUCCUUUGUCAUCAUCUCCCCUACAGGUGACACUGAGGGCCCUCGGCUUCUGAGCUCCAUGCUCUACUACAGUGGUACCUCGGGUUACAUAUGCUUCAGGUUACAGACUCCGCUAACCCAGAAAUGGUACCUCAUGUUAAGAACUUUGCUUCAGGAUGAGAACAGAAAUUGUGCUCUGGCGGCGCGGCAGCAGCGGGAGGCCCCAUUAGCUAAAGUGGUGCUUCAGGUGAAGAAUAGACCUCCAGAACGAAUUAAAUUCUUAACCUGAGGUACCACUGUAUAAUUAUAACCUGUUUCCCAUUUCUGACCUGCUAACGGCAUGCUUGGAGAUCUCCUUUUGGAUUUCUCUUCAGAGCUUUUAAAAUGAAGAUUGAAAUUGCAGUGCCACCUUGUGGAAAGCAGUGCAAGGCAAGUGGUCCUCGCUGCAGCGAAAUUGCUUUGCUUCCUUGGUCCUUGUGUUAACUCCUAAACUUUGCCCCCCCUCCCCAAUCCCUGGCCAUUAGCUAUGCUGGCCAGGGUUGAUGGGAGCUGGAGUCCAGCAACUACCAGCUAGGGAACUACAGGUUUCCAUUUCUGCUCUAAACACUUGUAAAGAUGGUGCAGUUUUUGGAGACUUGAUAACACAAAGGUAAUUAUUUUGCUCGAAGUGGAGAAUAUAGACAUUUGCUUUCCAAGUUACACUACUGGGAAAACCCCAUUUUCUGUUACUUGCCCUAGAUCGGUGGUUCUCAAACUGUUUUCUCUGGGCCACACUUUCAGAAUAACAAUUUGCUCACACCAUUUCUUGUUUUGUUUUAUUGGUGAGAAAUACAUUGGAAAACAAAAAGAAACAACUUUUGCUAGUGCCUGAAUUGUAACACAGAACAUAGAAUAUGAUCAUGGGUCAUGAAGGCAGUAUAAAACAAUGUCGCUAUAUAAGAACACGAAUCAUUACCCAAAUAUAAUUAUAAACGAGUCUCUUACAUAUGUACCUUAAGUAUGCAUGCAGACUCAGUGAGAGGUGUGAGCUUGCUUUUGCUGGGUAAUCUCAUUUAUAUGGGGUCUAAUUUGAGACAGACAAACUCUCAUCUCCUCAUCAACAGAAUCUUUUCUGAGAAAUUCAUUUUUGUCAGACUUGACAAUCCUUGAUCACAACAAUACAAUGGUACCUCAGGUUACAGAUGCUUCAGGUUACAGACACUUCAGGUUACAGACACUGCUAACCUAAGGUUACCAGAUGUCCCCGUUUCCCGGGGACAGUCCCUGGAUUUACAAAUCAGUCCCCAUACAAAAUCCAUUUAAGUUGAAAAGUGUCCCCGGAUUCAUUGGGAAAAAAUCUGGUAACCUUAUGUUAACCCAGAAAUAGUACCUCAGGUUAAGAACUUUGCUUCAGGAUGAGAACAGAAAUUGUGUGACGGCUGCAGUGGGAGGCCCCAUUAGCUAAGUGGUACCUCAGGUUAAGAACAGUUGCAGGUUAAGAACGGACCUCCAGAACGAAUUAAGUUCCUAAACCGAGGUACCACUGUAUGUCAUAGAGAACUUCAGAAGAACAGUAAAUGCUCUUGAAUAUCUAUCCAUAUUCAGCAGGUACCGUAUUUUUCGCUCUAUAAGACGCACCAGACCACAAUACGCACCUAGUUUUUGGAGGAGGAAAACAAGAAAAAAAAUAAUCUGAAUCUCAGAAGCCAGAACAGCAAGAGGGAUCGCUGCGCAGUGAAAGCAACAAUCCCUCUUGCUGUUCUGGCUUCUGGGAUAGCUGUGCAGCCUGCAUUCGCUCCAUAAGACGCGCACACAUCUCCCCUUACUUUUUAGGAGGGAAAAAGUGAGUCUUAUAGAGCAAAAAAUACGGUAUAUAAAUGAAAUAAUUUGAUACUAUACCUGGGGUCAGCAACCUUUUUCAGCCGUGGGCCGGUCCACCGUCCCUCAGACCUUGUGGUGGGCCGGACUAUAUUUUUUGGGGGGUGAAAUGAACAAAUCCCUAUGCCCCACAAAUAACUAAGAGAUGCACUUUAAAUAAAAGCACAUAUUCUACGCAUGUAAAAAUACCAGGCAGGCCCCCCAAAAUAACCCAGAGAUGCAUUUUAAAUAAAAGGACACAUUCUACUCAUGUAAAAACACGCUGAUUCCCGGACCGUCUGCGGGCUGGAUUUAGAAGGCGAUUGGGCCGGAUCUGGCCCCCAGGCCUUAGGUUGCCUACCCCUGUACUAUACUAUACCAUACCAUACAAUACAAUACUGAAAUGUUUAAAUGUUGCUUUGAUUGUCCUUGAAUUUUCCUGCCACACCAAUGUGGCAUGCCUGUUCAAAAAUUGUUUUGAUGUUAGGGGUGGGGGAGAAAUUUGAUUCAUUUUGCAUCUAAAAGCAAACCUAUCUAAUUCACAUUUUCUGAAACAAUACUAGAACUGAAACAAAGCCAUGCUGGGCAGUCCUCUGAAUUUUGCAGUGCAGUUCUCCAGGCAAGUAAUGUGUGCAAAAAUGCACACAGGAAGGAGGGUAAAGUGUGAGGUGGGGGCGGGGGAGCAUACAAACACGGAUUAUAUUAAGGUAAAUUGGAUUUCAAAAACAUUUGUGUUAGGCAAUUUGCAUACAAAUGUGUUUAUAUUACGAGAAAUUUGCACUCAAAUGCUGAUGAGUUUCCAAUAAUAACAACCUGAAAACUGGUGUGGGAAUGACGUGAAGCUAAGAUUGGAAAAAAAGAGAAACUGAGAAAAACUGAAACGAACAGGUUUCCCUAUCCCUAGUUGAUAGUAAAUUUUGUGUAAAAAGGAAAAGGAAUUAAUCUAUUUGGGUCGGAAUAUUGGGGAAAUAUCGCUUAACGGAAAGUAGAUCAGUUGGGUGUCGUUCCAGAGUGAGUAUUUUGAAUAAUUUCUUUUGUGUAACUGACAGAAAAUCAGAAGUCCUUUUUAUUUUUCUUCUCUUUUCUUCUACUUUUCUGAUUUGCCUUUGGUGCUUUCUCUUUCUCUCUUUCUGUAUAUCAGGCUUCUGUUAAAAGCACAGGAGCAGAGGCAGCUAAAGAAGAAAGAAAGGUGGCAAUGGCAGGCUAAUCAGAGUGCAGCCAUGUGCCACCAAGCGCAUAGCCUGGUGCCAUGGAAGAGUUAGCACCCGUGCUUUAUUGAGGAACAUCUACAUCUCUUAUGCCUUUGCUUUUCCAUCACCUAUAAUUCUCUAAAGAGAACCGCAGGCUGGUGCAUGGCCUGUGGUUUGAGCGAAGGUGAAUAGAGAGAAAUCAAGCAUUUCAUAGAUUAGGUGGUACAGUUUCAAAGCUGUUUAGGGAGCUGCUGUGGAUUUUACAAGGAGGUUGCCCCUGUUCCUCUGGAACUUUCUGAUUUUUUGACAACUUCCCUAUAGCAACAAAGGGCUCACCCACACUUCCACUUGUCCCACGCUUUCUAGUUUUUCUUUUGUCCCACCACUUACCCCUGGAAAACCCUCCGUUCACCUCUGAAUCAUAACAAACGUCAGUCGGGUUUUCCGUGGAUUGAUGUUUGUUCUGAUUCAGCAGCAAAAGGCGUGUUUCCCCACAGAAAGCAGCAGGGCAGGAGAAAAACCUCACCGACCCACGCCUAGAAAACACAGGACACGUGGAAGAAAACAUGGGACAAACAGAAUUGUGGAUGAGUCUAAGGCAGGGGUCGGCAAGGUUUACCUCGCCUGGGCCAGUUCACUCCAGCAGAGAUCCCUCUGUGGGCCAGAGUGCACGCAUGUGUGAAUGCGCAUGACUGUGAUAUGUGGCAUCUGUGUCUGCGCAGACACAAUUUCCAGAGCCGCGGAAGCGAGUCCCCAUGCUGCACCGGCUUAGCGCAGCGCGCAGGGACUCACAAGCGGGCAGCUCAGUUGGGGGGGGCGGCUCGUGGGCCGGUUAAAUGACCCCUGUGGGCUGCUUGUGGCCCAUGGGCCUUAGGUUGCUGACCCCUGGUCUGAGGUAAGGUUACCAGACGUCCCUGUUUCCAGGGGAGAGUCCCCAGAUUUACAAAUCAGUCCCCUGACAAAAUCCAGUGAAUUUGACUGAAGUUGAAAAGUAUCCCCAGAUUCAUUGAAAAAAAAUCUGGUAACCUUAGUCUAAGGAAUAUCCUGCUUUACAGCAAAGCGAUAUGAAAACUGGCAGGAAGGUUGCCACAUCUUAUAUGCCCAGAAGUGCAAAACACAAACCCCAAACACAAAGUGCUGUGAAUCAGAUUUCCUAAAGUUAUUCAUGUGUUAACGCUCCACUUGGAGGGCUAAUGUACGGUGGGGAGAGUGGGACUGUGUUUCCUGGCCCCACCCCUGAUGCCAAGUGUCCCUCUACCCACACCCCAAUUUCCAUACGCCCUCCCUGCUCCACCGUGUGACCGCCAUGAUUGGCAAAAGCACGUAGGGCAGGUUGGCUCUAUUCAUUAAGUUUCCUCCACAUGCUCUGGAGACCCUGCCAUGCCUCAGCCGAAGGAUUGCUCAUCAGGGGACAACCUGUAGCCCCUGCUACAUAGUGAAGCCACAGACACAAGUUGAUCUGGCGAUAAGGAUGAGUUGGGACUCUCGGACAAGCUUGCCAGGCAGUUGUUGGUGCAGCAGGAGAGUUCAACAUGGGCCCUGAGCCAGUGUGAGCAACAGCACCUUAAAUGGCAGGUGGAAACCUGCCCCAUGAGGAGAAGGUCAAGACUUUAAGGAAUGACUCAUAGUUGAAAGGAAUCCUAAGGGAAUCUCAACUAAAGCAUCCAAGGCAGAUGGCCAUCCAACCUCUGCUUAAAUUCCUUGAGAGUCAAGGUCCUCCUCGUGGGUAAGGUCCUCCUUUUUGACAAUUUUGUUGUUGUUGUUUAGUCAUUUAGUCGUGUCUGACUCUUCGUGACCCCAUGGACCAGAGCAUGCCAGGCACUCCUGUCUUCCACUGUCUCCCACAGUUUGGUCAAACUCAUGCUGGUAGCUUCGUGAACACUGUCCAACCAUCUCGUCCUCUGUUGUCCCCUUCUCCUUGUGCCCUCCAUCUUUCCCAACAUCAGAGUCUUUUCCAGGGAGUCUUCUCUUCUCAUGAGGUGGCCAAAGUCUUGGAGCCUCAGCUUCAGGACCUGUCCUUCCAGUGAGCACUCAGGACUGAUUUCCUUAAGAAUGGAUCCGUUUGAUCUUCUUGCAGUCCAUAGCUGAUGGAAUUCAGGUGGACCCUGGGUGGGGUUCCAAACUUUUUUUUUUUAGCUCUGUCAAGCACACAUUUUCACAGCUGAGGCCAAUUUCUAAUGAGCAGGCUCUGACUCUGACCUUGAGCACCCAAGAGAACACAGGUAUUGGUUCUUGUGAUCUCAUCCCUGCUUGAAGAGAAAGAAUAUUUUCUCAGAGGCCUAACUUUUGUGCCUGAGUUGGGAAACUAUUUUCUAGCACACACAAAAACCACUUUUCUUUCAAAUAAGAUUUUGUUAAAGCUUUUUCAUAAUACAGUAAGAUAAAAGAAACUAAUAUAAACAAAAAUAAAAACGGAGAGAGAGAGAGAGAGAUAAAAGAAAAAACAGGGUCCUCUCUCAACAUAACUUGUCUCACACAGGAAGUGGUGGAUCCAACUCUCACCUGUGAAUUUUCCUUUCUUUUCCCAGUCUCUCACCUUGGGAGGUCUUUCCUUUGUGUGUGUGUGUGUGUGUGUGUGUGUGUGUGUAAUACUUGCACCCCUAAAACGGCCCAGAGCAGAGGACACCAAAAGAAAAAAAGGGGGGCAGAAAUUAAAGAGAAAAGAAGAAAAAUAAAAAGGAUUUUCUGUCUGUCAGUUACUUAAAAGAAAUUGCUCCAAAUAUUCACUCUAGAAUUACAUCCAACAGAUCUACUUUUUGUUAGGCAAUAUUUUCCCAGUCUUCUGACCCAAAUGUCUCAGAUGAAAUCAUUUUUCUUUUCACGCAAAAAGUCCAAAAGGGUUUCUCUAAUUCUUGUCAUUAAUAAAUGCCACCAAUGGUUUCUCUCUAGCUUUCUUGACAAGUGUCAGGCUGAAAGAGUUUCUGGAACAAUGCAUUAAAAAAAUUAUAAUAUGCCUUCUGCCUCAUCCUCUGCUUGCCUGGAAUUUAUGUGCCUUUUUAUCGGGGUCCAUAGCUUCCCAUUAGAUUCUCCAAGGUGUUUGCGACCCAAAAAAGGUUGAAACACCCACUUGUCCUAAUCCAACAGGGACAGCUUUUCUACCCUGACUUUUCUUCAUGGUUUUUCAGAGCUGAAGUGUCAAGAUUUCAGCUUACUAUUCCAAGUAUCUAUCGGCUGAAAAUUCAAAAUGUUUGCCAUUUUUGGUGAGGUAUUUACAUUUCCGUGUGCUUUGACAGGAACCUCUUUCAACAAAGAAAUAAAAGUUCACACUUCAUUGCGGAUUCCAAGAACUGGCAGAAUACUGAUGGUUGCGGGUUGGGGUUUGUGUCAGGUGUCAAGUGCUGUGAGGUUGGCGACGUGUUUCAGUCCAUAAUAAUAAGGUUCUGAAAAAGAGCAGGGGAACUGCAAAAACUGUGUGAAAAGAGCGGGAAAAUGACUAGCAAUCCCAGGAUCCUUUGCAACUACAGUCCCACAGCCUAGAACUUUGGAGUACCAGCAUGCCGGUCUGGUAAGUGCUGCUGGUUUUUAAAAAGGGUUUUCCUGGAUUUUCCAGAGGGUAUUUGCAGGCUUUUUAUAUGGUUUUCCCCAUUAUGCAUGACUUCCCAUGUAUGCACGGUAACCUCCAAAUAUGCGGGGAGAUGCCUGUAUUGAUAAUAAUAAUAAUAAUAAUAAUAAUAAUAAUAAUAAUAAUUUAUUUAUACCCCACCCAUCUGGCUGGGCGUUCCCAGCCACUCUGGGCGGCUUCCAACAAAAUAUUAAAUACAGUAAUGCAUCAAACAUUAAAAGCUUCCCUAAACAGGGCUGCCUUCAGAUGUCUUCUAAACGUCAGGUAGUUGUUUUUCUCUUUGACAUCUGGUGGGAGGGCGUUCCACAGGGCAGGUGCCACUACCAAGAAGGCCCUCUGCUUGGUUCCCUGUAACCUGGCUUCCCGCAGUGAGGGAACUGCCAGAUGGCCCUCGGCACUGGACCUCAGUGUCUGGGCAGAAUGAUGGGGGUGGAGACGCUCCUUCAGGUAUACUGGACCGAGGCAGAGGCAAAACAAGGCAGAGACCCAGUUAUCCAACUAGAAAAGCCUAUUGGAACAAAAAUGUCUUCAGUUGGUUCUGGGGAAAAUGUGGAUAUUGUAGAGGGGCUUGGAAGGGUAGAAUUGAUCCCUGGACCUGGGGUUCUGUGUCCCUGCCUUAACAGGGUUGCUGUAGGGGUACAGCUGCAAUAAUAUAUGUGAAGUUUUCGAAAGCACAAUAUAAAUGUCAAAUAUUAUUUCACCCUGAAGAGCGGCUUUCCCCCUCCCCUCGAUGCACCAAGCAACCACCAUCUAAACUUUAGGAAGGCCAAUCGGUAUUCGGAAUUGUGGGAUCAGCUGGCAACUCAUUUCUCCACCUAGGCUAUUUGCAUGGCAAUGAGAUACUCGACAAACAGACAAAAGUAUGUAUAACUCAACGGUAGCUAUGAACGAGGGGCUACCUUUAAAGGAGGAGUGAGAGGAGGAGGAGGAGGGAGGGAGGAAAGAUACCAUCUCAGCAAUAUUGGUACUUUUGAUAAACUUGUUUUAUUUAAUUCCACAGUCUGAACAUAUGUUCUAUCAGCCCUGUGCGAGCGUCGAAAUUGCAUUUUUCAUAGCGAUGCUAAGGGGUGCGUGAUUAAUGCAGGAUGUGGGAGGUGUGCUCACAAAUCCUGUUAUCAGAUAAUGGGAUUAGCACGCAUACCUCCCGAGCGCUGCUGCCGCUUUGAAAAAUUUAUUUCCGAAUCUACAUAUUCAGCUACACAGAACCAGCCACAUUAUGGGCAUAACAAAUAAAAGUGCUGGGGAUGCAGUUUGAAGAGCCUCUAUCGUGAUUACGUUUGCCGCCGCGGCAGCAGCAGCAAUGAAAGACUAAAAUCGGAGGCUAGACACAGCACUGUCUCUCUUUCUCUCUCUUUUAGGGCUGCUUCACGUUAUUGCUAACGCAGAAGACAAGUUUGCCAAUUGCCUGCGAUACCUUGGCCUGCGAAUACCAUAGGGUUGGAAGGGGCGGGUGGGGCGGAAUGUGCAUCCGAACUCCAAAAACAAACAGCAGACGCACACCAGAGAAUUCAGAGCAGGGCAUCGCUGCCUGUUUUGGUCAUGGCUCAGUAGCACAGAGUUCUCAGCCUCCUUCAUAUUCCUCCAAGAAGCUUGGGGGGUUUGUGCAUCAUUCUCCUCCUCGCCACUUUGUGCUCAAAAUAAAGUAGGAUAGGCACAGUGACAGACACAAAGUCACCCAGGCCACGUUCGCACCGUACAUUUGAAGUUCUGUGAUACCACUUUAAACAGUUGCGGCUUCCCUCAAAGAAUUCUGGGAGCUGUAGUUUUUUAAGGGUGCGGAGCUACAGUUUGCAGUGUGGUUUAAGUAGGAAGGCAGGGUGUGGAAGGGUUGCCAGAAAGUAAGGUGAAGCAGCACCAUCCAAAGGUUGAGGCUGCAAUCCUAUAUACCAGUGGUUCCCAAUUAGCUAAGUGCUGUAAAGGUAAAGGGACCCCUGACCAUUAGGUCCAGUCAUGGCCGACUCUGGGAUUGCAGUGCUCAUCUUGCUUUACUGGCCAAGGGAGCUGGCGUACAGCUUCCGGGUCAUGUGGCCAGCAUGACUAAGCCGCUUCUGGCGAACCAGAGCAGCGCAUGGAAACGCCGUUUACCUUCCCGCCGGAACGGUACCUAUUUAUCUACUUGCACUUUGACGUGCUUUCGAACUGCUAGGUUGGCAGGAGCAGGGACCGAGCAACGGGAGCUCACCCUGUCUCAGGGAUUCGAACUGUGACCUUCUGAUCGGCAAGUCCUAGGCUCUGUGGUUUAACCCACAGCGCCACCCGCGUCCCACCUAAGUGCUGUAGACCCCUGUUUUUCAAAAGCCAAGCCAGAGACCCUCUACUUUCGAAACAAGAGGAAGAUAUAUUUGUGGUAGUUUUUGCUGUGUGCCACGGACCCCUGGGUGGACUCCCCAAGGGGUCCAUGGACCACCAAUUGUGGGCCAUAGCUAUAUUCUUUUGCAAGCCACCUCGAUUUCCGAGCUGUAUGAGCUUCCAGGGGUUUCAGGUGCUUAUGCAGGGUUCAGUUUCCUUGCAAGUAGGGACAGCAGUGACCGUGAUGCCUUUAUGAUACAGCAUACAGGUGGUGACCAUUUUAGGCGUGUCAAAUUGUGUAAUGCUGCAGUGUGAUAACUGCCAAGAAAACUUUUUUGUUUUGUUUGAAUCUGUAUAGCUAAGGGAGCUUCCAGGCUAUUGCAUACCCCACAACUGUCCUGUUUUAAGCGGGACACUCCCAAUCACAGAAGUCCAUCCCAGCUUCUGUUUGGAUCCCAGAAUGUCGCAUUUAAGACAGGCACCCUGGUGUGAUCCAGGUGAUGAGCGCCAGGGUGCCUUCCAGGAUCGCUUUGGCAACUGUGAAAGGGUCACGCCAAAGCACCUCUGGGAGGCUGCAGCCUCGGUGGGGGGAAAGGUGUAGGGAGGGCAGUGAGAGAGAGAGCAGGCAAGGGAGGAGAUGGGUGGGUAGGGGGCAGUGGUGAGUGUGAGCAGGCGAAUGGCAGUAGGAUGGUGUGUGUGUGUCCCGAUUUGCCCCCACUAAAUGUUGGGAUUUUGGGGGUGGGAUUCAAUCACAUCCUGGAAAAUUCAGGCUGCACAAUUAAACCUGAUGUGGAGCUCUUGUGCAACAAACCAAAAUACUGGUCUGUUUGCAGGGAAAAUGCACCAGAAAGUGCAGGAUAAAUUGAUGCUAUGUUGUCUAAGCUCUCCAGAAUUAAAUCAGAUUGUAAAUAGCCAGUGUCACCAUUUCUCUCUGCAGACAAGCCAGAAUGAGUGCUUCAUAUAGAGCAGGGGUCAGCAAACUUUUUCAGCAGGGGGCCGGUCCACUGUUCCUCAGACCUUGUGGGGGGGCCGGACUAUAUUUUGAAAAAGAAAUAUGAACGAAUUCCUAUGCCCCACAAAUAACCCGGAGGAUGCAUUUUAAAUAAAAGCACACAUUCUACUCAUGCAAAAACACGCUGAUUCCCAGAUCGUCCGUGGGCUGGAUUUAGAAGGUGAUUGGGCCGGAUCCAGCCCCCAGGCCUUAAUUUGCCUACCCAUAAUAUAGAGGCUGUAUGGAAGUCACCUCACCAACUGGGCCUUGAGAAGGAGAUGGCCUCUAUAAUUUUUGCUACCGUAGCUUUUCUUUUUGGCCAACUUCCAUAGGCUAAAGAUGUACUGAAUAUCCACCUCCACUAAGAGGAGCCCUAGGCCUGGAACUCAACCUUCUCUUCGUCCUUUUAAAUAGAAGACAGUAGGGCAGAUGGAAGUGGAGGAAGCACUUUUUUAAUUUUCUGACUGCAGCAUAAAUAGAAUUAAUGAGUUGCUUGUGAGUGCAAGUGAUUUUGCAUGCUUUUUUUUUUUUUUUUUUACAGGGGCUUGCGGUGUGGCAACGAAGAGUGCCUGGGUGCUUAAAGGCAGAGGAAAGAUAUAGAAGCAAAUGCAAUUUUGAAUCUUACUAGCAAAUGUAAUUGGACAUCUUCCUAGCUUUGGUACUCAGCAAAGCCUGAUUUCAGAAAGGUUCUACUGUACUCAGUCUUAGAUGAAAGGAAAGGCAGACAGGCCUGAACUAUCGAAAAUAUUAUCUGCAAACGGAAUGUAGACUUCCAGACAAUAGAUUUCACCAAGAACUUGUUGACAUGAGAAAAUAUUUGGUCUGCAAUUUAUUUUGAAAGUUGUUCUUAGUAACAGGGUAGAAAUAGCUAAUGGAAAGUACAAACGAGCCUGAGCUUAUAAACUUUGGUAUACCUCCGCAUUGUAAUUAGUUGUCUGAUAAAACUGAAUAAUGUGCGCCUUAGAGCAGGUGGAAAAGCACUCUAGCCAGUUCUGGGAUUCCAAACAUUUUGUCUCUCCCCGUAUAACUGAAAUGUCCCACCCAUUGAGACUGAGAUCAGGAUGACAGAAGCUCUGCAAAGGGAAAUGGGAGGGAUUCACCAGCAAAAUUUUCUGCUCUGUUACCAUCCUUUUCUGCCUUUCCUCCCCAAACUUCACCCCUGUUGCCGUCUUCCUGAUUGCUCCCAAGUUCAGACCUCAUGCCUAUUGUAGAUAUUAAUAUUGUGCAGUUUCAAGCAACUGGAAUCAAAAGAACUGACUCCUCCUUCUGGAAUAAAUCAUUGUCCAGUCCCAUAAAAAUUAUUCAAACUUUUACUUGCAGAACUCUUCAAAAACAUAACAUAAGCAUCAUAGAUGCAUCCAAAAUAUCCCUACAAUGUCUUCUGCUGUCCAGCAGAGGCUCCGCAUCUUAGAAAAUAUGAAAUAAUUCAAACAGACCUAAAGAAGCAGAGGCCUGUCUCUCCCCACAGCAUCCAUUUUCCCUUGAUCUGUUUUCUCUCACACUCAUAGAGGGUCAUUUACAUGUCCUUACUUCCACAGAGUUUGGGACAAAAUACUUAAAGGCAACUCCCUGCAAAAUGGAUACUUGCAACUCAAUACCUUUGUCACUUGAUCUAAGGUCACAACACUCACCUGUUAGCCAGCAGAAAACAACAGUUAAUUAUCAACUCAGCAAGAGCUCAGAGUCCACUUAGAAAGCUACUGUGGAAAAACCAACACACAUUUAGCCAUUUUCCAUUUUAAACCUUCAUUAAUAUACAGGCAUUAUUAUUUCAGUGUCAAUUAAAUCAACUAAUACUUAACAAUGCCCAGCACAGAUUUAUUUAAGAGCCAGUUUACAAAGUCAUAGGUCCAAGUACAUUGAUAAACAAGUAACUUGGACCAGUCACUGCCUCUCAACCUAGCCUACUUCCCAGGGUUAUUGUCCAUAUAAAUUGGAGGGGUGGGGAACAAAGUACACCUCCUUGUGCUCCUUGGAGGAAAGGCAGGAUAACUUAACUGUUAAGUUAGCGAAAAUGUAUAAAGUCAGUAAUAAAUGUUGGAAAUGUAAAGAAAAAGAGGGAACAUUUUAUCACAUGUGGUGGGAAUGUAAAAGGUGAAAUGCUUCUGGGAGAUGAUAUAUAAUGAGUUGAAAAAAAUGUUGAAAUAUACAUUUAUAAAGAAACCAGAAGCAUUUCUAUUGGGCAUUGUGGGGAGUGAUAUAAAUAGAAAGGAAUGUAAGCUCUUUUUAUAUGCAAUAACAGCAGCAAGAAUAUUAUAGGCCCCAAAAUAAAGUUAAUGGACUAUGCAGAAUUAGAUAAACUAACAGGAAGGAUUCAAAACCGGCGAGACCAGAAAUUCACGGAAGACUGGAGUAAAUUUACGGACUAUUUGAAAAGUAAUUGUGAAGAACAGAUGAUGUUUGUAGGUUUGCAAGAAGUUUUGUGAGGAGUAUUAUUAGAAAUAUUGUAAAAAUGGACAAGGGGGAGGAUGAUUUGUUAAGAGAUGUAAAGGCAUUAUAAAGUUAAGAAAUGCAUAAGAAGUGGUUAAAAUGGUGGAUCAUCAGAGGUGCUGAUGGAAGUCCAAAAAGAUUGUAUAAGUGAUAAGUUUUGUGGUACAUUUUAUAAUUUAUAUGUUAACAUUAAUAAAAAAUAUUAUUUAAAAAAAGGAGGAAAGGCGGGAUAAAAAAUGAUGAAUAACGUUCAGAUUCAAACUGAGUCAUUGUGUGACCGCCAUUUUCCCAUCCCCAAAACCAGGAAUUAAGUCAUGUAUAUAGAAGACAUUUCUCUAAGCUGCGCACUGCAUAUCCUUUGUGAUAGCUUUCCCACUAGCUCAGAUUAUCUGUACAUUAUUGAAGGCCCUCUGUGUCGCUAGAUGGCCACUAGAGGGCAGGGUUGAAUUUGGAUAAGGAAAGAAAGAAAUAAGACUGUAGAAAGAACGAGUAUUGAGUACUGUAUUAGAGAAUCCCGCUUGACCAGGAAGAUAGAAGGAAAAGCUCUAAUUGAUUUUCAACAGGUAAAAUCUCUAGGAAGUAGCUGUCUGUGAUAAAAGGCAGGUAGAACCUGUGGCUCUCUGUGUUUUUGGCAUAUCCAGUGAAGUUCUGGAUCGCAGAUCUAUUGCUGGGUGAGCCAUCAAUUAUGAUCUGGGCUAUAGCACCAUUAGAUAUAACAGAGGCAGAGCUUCAUUCUGGUUUACAAUGUGGUGCAUGUUGUGAACAAAGAGGAGGCAGUCUUGAUUCCAGCUGAAAUUAACUUUAUGGGCAAAUUUCUAUUUUUCCACAUAGAAAUCCAGUUUUUAAAAUUCAGAAUCUCAACUGCUCAGAUACUGAAAUUUAAAUUCGGAAUUCUGAGUACAUUAAUGGAUGUAUUUGUGUGGAUGCAUAGAUGGCCAUAUUUCAGUGGCAAAUGGCAUAUGCUUUCAGGUGCUCAAUUUUGAUUCGUCUGACCAUGUGAAACCACAAUUUCAAAAGGGGGGGGGCAAGGGAGCCUAGGCUGCAAUCCUAAACACAUUUUCCCAGGAUUAAAACCCAGCAAAUUCAAUGGGUCUUGUUUCCAAGUAAACAUGAAAUUGUGUCCAUUGAUGUCAAUAGCUCUACUCUGAGUAUGGCUGCUACCACCCAUAAUUUAUGAAACAAAAAAUAAUAUGAUAAAUAUUAGUUCCCCUAAUAAUUGCUUUUCCAUUGUAAUUAAUUAUUAAUUACAUUGUAAUUAAUUAAUUAAUUAUUAAUUCCCCUAAUAAUUGCUCUUCCAUUGUAAACUUUAUAUUUGACUCAUUUAGUAAUGUUUUAUGUUGAUAUCUUUAAUAUAAUAUUUUAUUUCCCUGUUAAUUAUGUUGCUUUCUAUUUGACCUCCUUCUACAAUGUUUUAUUUUGGAUCAUUUUAUUUGAUGUUUUAAUGCAGGCUGUAAAGCGUUUUGAGAGUCCCCCCUCCCCUUAAAAAUAUGAAGCAGUAUAAAAAUGAAAUGAAUAAAUGAAAAAUGAAUGCAAUGUGCUCAAAACAUACUAACUGUAUUUACACAAAUAAGUAAAUAGUAAUUCAGUAAUUAGGAUGGGGAUUCUUAAAGGGUGCAUCCAUAUCACAGUUUAUUGUGAAUUCAGUUCUGCUCAUGCCUGCAUGAAUGCUGGUGGUUUGAUCCCACCCAGGGACAGCUGUGGGCAAGAUUUCUGAAUUGCAGGGGGUUGGACUGGAUGACCUUUGGGUUGCUUCCAUCUCUACAAUUCUAUGAGUCUGUGUUUUUCCUCAGACUCUAUGCAACAUCCUCAUCAAAAUUCCAUUCCGUAUCGCUCCUCCCUAGUUUAACUCAGAUUUACUGCUUCGACUUUUUCUUUUCUUUUUUUACUUACUGGAUUUUCCGCAGAAGCUCUAAAUCCAGAUUAAAAUGGGGAAAUGAUACGGGCAUUUGGUUGAGGACAACAAUGUGUGGAUGCUCCAUAAACCUUGAAUGCAGGCAGCACCAAGUCUGUAAUAAACUGCCUUCCGGAAGUGCCCCAAAACUGCAGGGCGGAAGGACUAUUUUCUACCCUACCCAGAAAAAUACUCUAAUCAUAGCCCCAAAAGUCUAGACGAACGAGUCUUUGCUUGGUGCUGAAAUGACAAAAAGUGUCAUUGUGGCUUCUGUAAUUUCCACGGCGGAAUUUCUUCCUCGGUGAAAGCUGUUAAAUUUCACCACCCAUUUUUCCCCCAGCCGCGGAAGGAGCUUCAGGGACCACAUACAACAGUGUGGCCUUGCUGUGUGUAAUUGCCUAUAAUUGCACCAAAGGCACUGAACAUUACAGUCUCGGAAACUCUGGCGUAUCUGUUGUUAUUGACACAUAUUGAUCGCAUGGGCAGGAGCCCCGCAGGCUGCUGGGAGGGGGGACGGUCUCUUAACUCUGCUCUGUUGCCUACACACCUCACACACCUCAGGCCUACUUUGACAAUUUGCAGAGACCGCGGCAAGCCACAUACGCUGCUCCCCGGGGAUUUUCGUCUUUUGCGCAGCAGUUGCAAAUACUUUACAGUGUUGCACAGUCUCCAUUUUCCCCAAACAGUGAGAAAUUUUCAGCGGCAGGGUUACUCAGGUUUCCUUUCCUGUGAAUAUAAGAGAGAGAAAGAGUGCACAAGGGACAUGGAGUUUUUGUAGAAUUUAUUUAUUCACAACUAUAAACAAGCUGGACCAUAAAGAAGGCUGAUCACCGAAGAAUUGAUGCUUUUGAAUUAUGGUGCUGGAGGAGACUCUUGAGAGUCCCAUGGACUGCAAGAAGAUCAAACCUCUCCAUUCUGAAGGAAAUCAGCCCUGAGUGCUCACUGGAAGGACAGAUCCUGAAGCCGAGGCUCCAAUACUUUGACCACCUCAUGAGAAGAGAAGACUCCCUGGAAAAGACCCUGAUGUUGGGAAAGAUGGAGGGCACAAGGAGAAGGGGACGACAGAGGAUGAGAUGGUUGGAUAGUGUUCUCGAAGCUACCAACAUGAGUUUGACCAAACUGCGGGAGGCAGUGGAAGACAGGAGUGCCUGGCGUGCUCUGGUCCAUGGGGUCACGAAGAGUCGGACACUACUAAACGACUAAACAAAUAAACGAGAAUAAAGAUGUUUGGUGAGCAUUCAUACUGAUUUGUUUUCAGCGAGGUUAGACGACACUUGCUGCUCACUUGAGUGUUCAUCCAGAUUUAAAAGCAGGGAGGUUAUAUCACAUUGGGUCAAGCAAUUGUUACCUCUCGCUUUCUAGUGCAUUUUCACAUGACUUUCCUGAACUGCAAAAAGUCUUAUCUUUGGGGGGAGGCGGGUUUGCUGCCCAAGACGUACCCAUAAACUGUAAUGGCACAACCUGAACUUGCCAGUAUGUGACUGAAUGCCACCUGAAAACAGUGGCAGUCUGUUGUUGUUGUUGUUAAAAUUUGUAUACCACUGUUCAUCUGAAGAUCAUAGGGUGCUUCACAACAUAAAAAUACAAAAUGAGAACACAAAAAACAUAAAAACAAAACAAAAGCAUAACACCCCCUCCCACAAUUAGCAUAUGCAGAUGUGACACAAAUCUUAUCCUCUUUAUUGAGGGACACAGUUCCUCUUUUUCUUGCAGCUGUUUCAAGUGGCUAUCCUUCUGCAAUCCACUGAGCAUUUUCAUAACACUGUAGUCGUAAAUUCCCUGCUAAGAAUUUUUUUUGCCACAUUUUGCAUCUUUCAGCGAGUCAUCAAGGGGAGCAUUUGUUGUUGUUGUUUAGUCGUUUAGUCCUGUCCGACUCUUCGUGACCCCAUGGACCAGAGCACGCCAGGCACUCCUGUCUUCCAGUGCCUCCUGCAGUUUGGUCAAACUCAUGCUGGUAGCUUCGAGAACACUGUCCCACCAUCUUGUCCUCUGUCGUCCCCUUCUCCUUGUGCCCUCAAUCUUUCCCAACAUCAGGGUCUUUUCCAGGGAGUCUUCUCUUCUCAUGAGGUGGCCAAAGUAUUGGAGCCUCAGCUUCAGGAUCUGUCCUUCCAGUGAGCACUCAGGCCUGAUUUCCUUCAAAAUGGAGAGGUUUGAUCUUCUUGCAGUCCAUGGGACUCUCAAGAGUCUCCUCCAGCACCAUAAUUCAAAAGCAUCAAUUCUUCGACGAUCAGCCUUUAUGGUCCAGCUCUCACUUCCAUACAUCACUACUGGGAAAACCAUAGCUUUAACUAUACGGACCUUUGUUGGCAAGGUGAUGUCUCUGCUUUUAAAGAUGCUGUCUAGGUUUGUCAUUGAGGGGAGCAUUAGGGAAGUACAUAUUGCAGAGCUGUAGGCAUCAUGACCCUGGAGUCAGAUUCUUCAUCUUCAGGGGAUGGGAGCAAGGACUCUGAAGCAGAAACAUGCCCACCGGAGGAGCCAUCAGUGCUUGUGUCCUGAGCCUGAUGGUACAGCAUUUUUUAAUCCUCAGAUUUUGGACUCAGCUAUAUUAGUCAGUCAGUUAUAAGUGUGUUAUAAUACCGUGGCACCAGAUUGCGCUGUAGAGCUGAAAUUGCAACUCAAUGAUUUUCCAUUGUGAGCUUUACAACGGUUUUUUCUCAGAACGUUUUUAAAGCGUCUUUUUUCUAGCUGUGUAGAUCUAGCCUUAGAAGACUCCAGUGCCAAAGGCCCAGUCAGACCAGAGUUUCUCCUGCCCUGUCACAGUAGGUGAUAGAACCCUAAGUUGGGGACAAACAGCAGACGUUCUUACACAGCAGCAGGAAUACAUAUGAUGGCUCCUGACAGAGGAUGUAGCUCAGUGGUGGAGCAUCUGAAAACAGGUGUGGUGAAAUUGAGAAUGUGCCCAUCAGCUUUCAUUGCCAUAUUUCCAUCUCUAGGUCACUGUGGUCCUGGGGAAAGAUAUCUGCUUGGAUUCAAACAUGAAACAUAGAAUUGCGUGUUAAAUAUACACACAAACACACCAUAUUCCAUGUUUCUUUUUAAAAAAUAAAAUAAUUUAUCAAAUUUCAGAAACGUAGAAACACAGGAAAACCUCUAUGAAGGCAAAACACAAAAUGUAUAAAAGGGCACCCAUGUAGAGAGAAGCGAUGGGGACAAAGGGAACACCAGACACAUAUAUUUUAUGGUCUGCAUGGACUUAUUAACAUCUACCUUUCCUUUUCCUUUUUUAAACUUAGUGGAACUACCAUAUCCCAUGCUUCUGAUACCUCACUGCAAAAGAGAAAUUUCAAACAAACAAAUUUGCAAAUCGAGAAUGCCAAACCGUUGAGUUAAACCAAAGGCCUUGUUUAGCUUGGCCAAAAUAUCUCCAGGUAUGUUCACAACACAUAAAAGUAACUUGAUUGGGGAAGGGAUAGUCAAGGAUCUCUAGACAAACUAGCCUGUCAACAACUCCUCCUGCUUCUUCCUUUCCUACUUCCAGCACCAUCCUGGCAUUCGUGGCACAAACUACAGAUUCCUGCAGGACGUUGCACAGAACCCUGAAAUCCAUCCAGAGACUUCUGCUGAUACAGAGCAGGGUCAGGCAAGAAAUGGCACCCCUGAUUUGCACUGAGCUUCCACACACCCAAAAUUCUGCUGAGCAUCACAUAGGGAGUUGCUUCUGCCCUUGCAAAACCUUCUAUACUUUUACUUCUGGUUCUGCAUAUAAACUUCAUCCAGGCCUCAACUCCCAAAGUUCAUAAAAAAAUGGCAUCUUCUUAGCAGGUGAACAAAUACAGUCAGUAAUGCAGGUAAGGAGUGUCAGUAAGAAACCCUUUAGAUAAGCAAAAGAGACGUUUUCUAAAUACUUAAAUCUGCUGCCUUGGGUAUUCCAGAAACCUUUGAUAAAUAUUGUUGUUCAUGGGGGCAAAAAAAAAAAAAGAAAAAAGAGAGAAAGAAGAGCAAAAUCAUUUUUUUCAUUUUGUAGCUGAGACAUCCGUGCUGAGUGCUACAUAAUCUUUGGAUUCAUGUGUCGGACAAUUACUGUCUAAUUAAUUAAUCAUCUGAUAAUUAAAAUGACCUCCUUUGGGCUGAUACCCGAUCUGCGCGAGGUUCAAAGGAAACUUGACACAUCGUGUUGUGUCCUGUUCCAGCAUGACCUACAGGCAUGUUAUCGUGUUAUGUCAAAUCUGGUUUUCCACAAGGAAAGCAAGCCAAGGUACAAAUUAAAGGAGGCAGGGGAGGAAGGGCACAGCUGCACGGGAUUAGAAACAGUGUAACUGGUCCUUCUACCUGGCAGAACGCAUACAUCAGGAAACUCCCAAGAGCAUCCGUGCACAAAGCGUGGGAUGGUAACGGCUGAGAGUGUUUGUUAUGCUACGGCUAUUGUACCAUUGUAGGUAAAGUAGAUUUUGCAUGCCAGUUAAAUUAGCUAAGCCACUGUUAUGGACUACAGCCACCAUAGGUGGUGUUUCAAUGGGGCAAGUGGAAGUUGCAGAUUGUUGGCCCUUGCAAAGGUGGAGAGGGAGCAUCACACAGGUGUUUGCGAGAGCCACAGGUGAUGCCCAGCCACAUGUUUACCUGCCCUGAGCCUGACGUCAAAUAUGAUAUCAGAGGUGGGUUGUGGGCCAAAUGGAAAGGCAACCCCAGGCUUAUUAGGCUCACAGGCUAGCAUUUCUCCUGUUGACUUAGGCCAAUAGUCUUCAGCCUUCCCAGAUCCACCUUCGACUUUGACCGAUAAGGGGCUAACUUCUAAUUCACAUCACCUACACAUUUUAACCCUUUAUCUGGGCUCCUUCCAUAUGGUUCUAAUUCAACCUGCUUGAGGUUGGUUCAGACCAGGCAUAAGCAAUCUCAGCCCUCCAGAUGUUUUGGGACUACAACUCCCAUCAUCCCUGACCACUGGUCCUGUUAGCUAGGGAUGAUGGGAGUUGUAGUCCCAAAACAUCUGGAGGGCCGAGUUUGCCUAUGCUUGGUUCAGAGCAUUGUAAAUCUCAGCUCCCCAGGUGAUAUGUGCUUAGGGUUGCCAUAUUUCAAAGAGUAAAAACCAGGACACCCCUAAAGUUGUUGGGUGGUUUGUUUGUUUUUGAAAAACCGAAAGUUGAUGAGCUUUCUUUUAGACAAACCCCAAAGCACCGCCUUUUGGAAAUGCCCCCCCCGGCAUCAAUUCCGUCUUUGAAAUCCCGGUAAUGUGCUGUCAUGUGUUGAUAGAAUACAACAGUCUUCCCCAAGCAGGUGCCCUGAAGAUAUUUUUUGGCUUAAUAAUAACAAUAAUAAUUUAUUUUUUUUAUAUCCCGCCCUCCCCAGCCGAAGCCGGGCUCAGGGCGGCUAACAACAUUAAAAUGAUACAACAUUCUAAAAUCAUUUCAUUAUAGAAUCAAUUCAAAUCAGAUUAAUGGCAACCAUUGGACUAGAGUUCUGUGAGAAUUGCCAAAGGAGGGGGUCAGGCUGUGCCCUGGCCAAAGGCCUGGUGGAACAGCUCUGUCUUGCAGGCCCUGUGAAGACCCGCAGGGCCCUAUUCUCUUGUGUUCCACCAGAUCGGAGCCACAACCGAAAAAGCCCUAGCUCUGGUUGAGGCCAGCCUAACCUCCCUGUGGCCCGGGACCUCCAAGAUGUUUUUGUUUGAAGACCGUAAGGUCCUCUGUGGGACAUACCAGGAGAGGCGGUCCCGUGGGUACGAGGGUCCUAGACCGUAUAGGGCUUUAAAGGUUAAAACCAGCACCUUAAACCUGAUCCUGUACUCCACUGGGAGCCAGUGCAGCUGGUAUAGCACCGGGUGAAUGUGAUCUCGCAGCGAGGACCCCGUAAGGAGUCUCCCUGCGGCAUUCUGCACCCGCCGGAGUUUCUGGGUCAGUCUCAAGGGCAGCCCCAUGUAGAGUGAGUUACAAUAAUCCAGUUUGGAGGUGACCGUCGCGUGGAUCACAGUGGCUAGGUCAGGGCGAGAGAGGUAAGGAGUCAACUGCUUAGCUUGCAGCUCCCAUCACUCUUGACCAUUGGCCAUGGGGCUGAGAGGAUUAGCAGUGCAAAACAUCUGAAGUGCACCACAUGGGAAACAUUUGCUCCAGGAAGCCAACCAAUCAACGUUUACAGAGUGGCAUGGUUAGAGUGGAACUACAGAUGGGAUGGACAUUUGCACUUCCAGCCCAUAUCAGCUGAAUAUAGGUGGAGACCACAAACCUCAACUCACCGUGUCAGCACUGAGGUUUUGUUCUGUGCAGCCAAGGUUUUUGUUCGGCUUUUUGAUUUUUGCAAGGCAAAAUUGAAUCUUUUUGGAGCUAAGGUGCUAAAAAGACACAUCAAACUCUGCUCUCCUGCUGGCAAGAUAGUAGCUAAGAGACUGAGCUGUGAAUCCGGGAGACUCCAGUUUAAAAAAUCUCAAGUCUUGUCACUAACUCGUUUGGCAGUCAUGGGGACCUUCAGAAUCUUUUGAACCUUUCUGCUGACUGUAUUGCAGAUAUCAAUAUGGUAUUUUUGCUUUGGCUAAGAGAGUCAGUUCCAGGGAAGGCAAUUGCUGUGAAGACAACUAAGACAAAGAAUUUUAGGCAUUUCACAAAUUUUAGAAGUGUCAUAUAAAUUAUUGAUAAUCAUAGGUGAUAAUCUUUCUUAGAGUUAUGCAGACAUGGGGAGAGAAAAAAAAGAAUUCUUUUAAAAUGUAAUUGCAAAACCAGAAUAGCUGCUCUACAAGUAGAGAGACUCAUUUACAAUCCUUGUAUUUGGAGCCAUCAGUUUUUUGGACUAUUUUCAAACUAUUUGGGAAAAAUUCUGUUUGAGACUAUUUGUAUAUUUUCUACAGAUCCCAUUUUGAAUAUUAGUGUGCCUUGAGCUUACAUGCCAUUUCCCUAGAACAGGGUUUACCUUAUUAUACAGCUCCUGUUUCAUUUUCUCUUUCAUUGUUUUGUACUUUAAAUAUAUAGAUUCCGAGAUAGGCUUCCGUACAAAAUGUGCACAUGUUUUGGGUGGUUGUAUUGAAUUCUUGUGACCAGCGUAGAUGAUCUGACCUUUGAAACCCUGGAAACGAAACCGAGAAAUGGAUUUGCAAGAAAGCCGAGCUGUUCCAGUUUAGCGGCAACGGAUUUGCCCAACUACAUCAGAUAUUCUGACUCUUUCAGAAGUUGUGGGUGAUGCUGGCCUCAUCUCCAGGGGAUAUUAGUUUUCUGUAUAUAAUUAAUAACAAGAAAACUGUAUCCUGACUUGAGGGCCUGCAUGAGCAUACUGGAACAAAAAGGGCCAUAAAUUAACAUCAAUUAUGUAUUAAAGUUCCAAUUAACCUGGCUGAUACUGAUAUACUUUAACAAGGUACACUUAGAUAAAAGAAGCCAACUCUCUAAUUACUUGGAAUGGGACCUUCUGACCCCCUCCUCCCUUUUAUGCCAACACCACCCUAAUGAGGAAGGAAGUGAGAGGUAGGGGACCCUUACAGAAGGUGAGGUUCUGAGCACCACCAGAUGCCCCCCUGGGACAUGCCUCUACCUUCUUCUUAAAACUGUCAAUGAUGAAUAUUUCAUUGCUCUUGAAGCCUUUUAACCCUUGGAGGAGGCAGAUGGUUCAAGCUCAAAGGGGCUAGGAGCAUCCUUCAAGCGCUUGAACGUUGAGCUCUCCAUCUACUUUACAUAUUCACUUCCCCAACCUUUUAUGAGCUUCCUCGUUCUCUACUCAUAAGACGUACGUGUUGGAUUUGUUUCUAAACUUCACCGCUGUUUUGCUAUUUAGAUAUCUUUUCUGCCUUAACCCAAGAACGGGUCAGUGUGACCCGUUCCAGCAAGUAUCAUCUACUUACUUAGCUCCUGUCUCUUCCUCUCCUUUCUCUUUGUCCCUACCUCCCCUCUCUUUUCAUCAUCAUCAUCAUCAUCAAUCAUCAUCUUUAUUAUGGUCCAGAGACCCAACAAAUCGUUACAAAGCAAUACACAAUUCAUACAGCCUACCUCCAGGUUAAACAAGAAUUUUGUUCAGAAUAUAGGGAUCAUUGGUUCUUACAACCACCGAUAAAAACUUUGCCACUGCUAAUGUUCUAGCGUUUGUCUGAUCUUCCAAUAGGAACCUGACAUAGUGAGCCUCUGAUUUUCCUGGGAAAGGUACCAGCAAGGUUAAUAUCAGUUCAGCCCUGACUGGCUCAUAUUUUGCACAGUGCAACAAAAUAUGUUUUAUGGAAUCGAUGUUUUGAGCGCAUGAGCAAAGUCUGUCCGGGUAGGGAACUCCUCUCAACCUGCCAUCCAACACUGCAGAAGGAAAGACGUUUAGUCUGGCUUUGGUGACUCUUUUUAAAAGAUGGUCCUAGUGCCACUGAUAUAACCUACCUUAGCUAACAUGGUCUACUGGAAGACCAGGGAGUCGCAGCCAGUUUUUAACCUCUUGGGAUCCUUGUGAAGAUGAUUUAAGGGUGCUUUCAAAUGGCAACAGGUCAUUGAGAUGUUGCAAAAUGGGUCAUUGGUAGCAGCUAUAUUUUUAUUUUAUCAGAUCUCCACAGAAUUAAAUGGGGGAAAAUACUGGCUGGCAUUUUCAUGCUAGUGAUGUCAUGUGGACACUGAAAAGAAGAACACAACUUGCAUGCGUGAGCAGCGCCUUUGGAAGUAUCCAAAUUCCUCAAUCCUACACGCACUUUCGCAAUCCUAUUUACAUUGGCGUAAACCCCACUGAAAACAGUAGGAUUUACCUCUGAGUAAAAAGGCAGCUUGAGAGAGGUGGUAGCAUGAAUUUCUUUGGACCGCUCAUGAAUCCCACCCCCUUGAAUAACAGGACUCCCUGCAAAUAGAAAACUAGCUCAGUGGAACAAAGUUUCAGCACGGUCUUUUUUCUUUUUUUUUUACUGAUGCACAAGUUUUAUAUUUGCAAAUGUUGUUGUUUACAUAGGGGAGCAUCCAAACAUCUCUGUGUGCAUAGGGUUCCUCUACGCAAGUCCCCCCUCCUCCAUGCUUAGAGAAGUUCCACCUCCUAACUCUCCAAGUGUCUCUCAGAAAGAUGGCUAUAAAAACUCCCUACAUCUUUGUGUGAGAAGAGAGCGUGGUGUAGCGUAGUGGUUAAGAGCGGUAGACUCGUAAUCUGGUGAACCAGGUUCGUGUCUCCGCUCCUCCACAUGCAGAUGCUGGGUGACCUUGGGCCAGUCACACUUCUUUGACGUCUCUCAGCCCCACUCACCUCACAGCGUGUUUGUUGCGGGGGAGGAAGGGAAAGGAGAAUGUUAGCUGCUUUGAGACUCCUUUGGGUAGUGAUAAAGCAGGAUAUCAAAUCCAAACUCUUCUUCUUCUCCUCUUCUACUUGCUGUUUGGUAGGUGGACCAUUAUAGGGGCAGAAAGAAAGACCUGUAAAGUUGAUGGGGUCGCAGGCAGAGAGGCAGGACCAUUGAAUUAGCUGCCCUGAUCCCCACUUCUUACCUGAAAUGCUCUUGGUAGGUAUUCUGUCCCGCCCCAGUUUCAAAGCUCUGCUUUCAAAGUGGUAUUGCAGAGUUUGCGUGUUUUUUUAAAUAACUCUGACCCAGUCUUCAAAGUAAUAUUUUUAACUACUUAGAGUUGUGGGUGCGGGGGGGGGGGGGAGAGAAGAAAGAUAAAAUAUAAGCACUUUGACACAGAAUUUCCUGUUAUCUGGCUACAUGGGGGCCUUUCCAGAUCUAUGAUGCGUUGCCCACAUACUUCUCUUUUUCACCAGGAAUAAAUUUAUAAAUAAUCUUGCCCACUCAGGAAGCCCCAUUCUCUUUAGAAAGACCAGGGAUUUGGCCAGAAAGAGGAUUAUUGAUAACACGGAAUAUCUUUAUUAUAGUGGUGUCCGCAAGCACGGCUGUACUUAAAGGUCUGUCAGCAUUUUGAUUUUAUAUAUAUUUCUUCAGAGGUUUAUAAACUCACACGCAGGGGAGAAAAAUUAAAUGCAAAAAAAGUACUCAACCCUAAAACUUGGCAUGCAAAGGAUUUAGCUGCCAGAAAGUUGGGUUUUAUCAGUGUUAUUUUUAUUUUCAAUUAAAACGAAAUUGGGUUUGCCAUGACUUAUCGCAGAUUAAAUAACUAGCUCUGCCUAUUGAGCUGCAUAGCUUAACCCCUUUGCUCCUGCUGAGUCUGGACUGAAGAAGUGGCAGAAGUGUGUGCACAACGUCUCCUGACCGUGCUGGGACCUCUCACAACAGCCCUGUAAGGAAGACCAGGUGAUGUGCCUCAGACGGACAAUGGCUAGGACACCAUUUAGGGAAGGAAGGAGAAAGGGUGCCCUUGAUUCCCUAAUGUUUCAUGUGAGAAGCAAUGCAGUACAGUGGUGUGAAAAAAUAUAUCAGCUUCCUUCCUCUCUUUGGGCUUCUGCAACCUAUUUGAUUUGCUUCCACAAAGCUUCCACCAAGGUUAGAUUAGCUUUAUUGAGAAUUUGUUCUGUUGUUGCUAUUUUUGUGGGAAUGUUAUAUGACAACAAGCAUCCACACUGCAUCUGGAUGUGGGUGUGGGGUGUUUAUGCAUCCUCCCAUCAAUCAUUUGUCCAUUCCACGCAUAUUACUUUCUUAGCUCCCAACUAUUCCAUUUAAAAAAUAAAAAAAUAAAAAGGUGGCUUCGUUGUGCUACUGCUUUAUCUAUUUGAACUGUGCAAAUGCAAAUUGCCUAGUGCGUUGCUUGAAUUCAUUCUGCAAAAUGCUGACUGCAUGGGGGUGCCCUUUGAUAACACCUUCCGUGAGACCUCUCUGGACAAAGUCUUGCCCAGCUAUCUGUAGGCACUAAAAUCUGCAUUGUUCCACAUCUAAAGAUAAUUUCCCUGCUUCAUCCUGCCCUCCCAACUGCAUGGCUCACCAAAAUGCUAACUGAGGUACUUGCAGGAAACUCCUGAAAGAUGCACAUUUGCUUUCUGCUACCCUAUUGGAGCCCUUGUGAAGGAAUGGAGAGUUUUCUGUCCUCCAUAAACAAGCAUUUUUGCCUGAUUUUCUUUGUUCUUCACUCUCAUGGCUAGGAGUCAAGUUCCUGACUCCUCAGCCCCAGGAGCUCAGGUGAGUUUCUUUGCCUCCUGCCUCUAAGCUGGUUUAGAAACACGAGUUGCUCCAUUUAAAGUUUGCUGUUAUUGCAAGUGUAGAAUAUCCCCGAGUUAAGAAUCAGGAAGAUGUUCCUGGCUUGAAUUUUGCACCUGCUAUCAAUUUAUUAUGUGCUUGCUUGCUUGUUUUUUUUUACUUUUAUGCUGCCUUUCCUCAAUGAGCUGGGCCCAAAGCAAAUUACAACAAACAUUCAAAACAUCAAAACAGAGAACACUGGAAGUAAAAAUGUACAAAAUGCAGAACGUGUAAGCAAGUUCAAAAUAACAAAAGCUAACAAUUUAGCAAACACAGAAUGAGCUCAAUCAUAGAAUUGGAAGGGACUCUGGGGGUCAUCUAGUCCAACCCCCUGCAAUGCAGGGAUCUCAACUAAAGCAUCAAUGACAAAUGACCACCCAACCUCUGCUUAAAAACCUCCAAGGAAUCUUGUAACUUGAAUCCAUUGGUUCGCAUCCUAGUCUAGCAGGAGAAAACAAGCUUGCUCCAUCUUCCAUGUAUCAGCACUUUAGAUGUUUGAAGAUGGCUGUCAUAUCUCCUCUUGGUCUCCUCUUUUCCAGGAUAAACAUACCCAACUCUCUCAACCAUUCCUUAUAAGGCUUGGUUUCCAGACCCUUUAUCAUCAUGUUAACCAACCAACAAACAAAUCUAGGAUCUAGAAGCCUGGCUUAGAUACAUUUCAGAUGAUGUUCAGCUGGUGCUCACAUCUCUCCUCCAGAGAAGACGGACAGUGGCAAAAUGCAAAUGUCAGGGAAAGCGAUGAUGGCAAGACUCUUCCACAGCCUCCUGGAAGUACCAGCUGCUGGUGCAGGUCUUAUUGGCCUAAUCCAAGUCACUCUACUCCAUUCUCCCCAUCUGUAGACUGAAGGUAAAAAUACUAUUCCAUACCUCGCAAGUGUCCUAGAAAAAAUGGGGCAUUCUGUUUUUUCUCGUCAGAGAACAGCGGUUCUUUUGGACACUGUGAUCUUGCACAAUUUUGCACUGAGAUCCCCCCCCAAUGCUUUUUCUGGGGCCACAAUCUCACUCAAAAUGCACAGAGGGUAGGAAUUAUGGCUGCUGAGGUGGGUCCCAAAGGGCUGCAUUUGACUCCUGGAACUGAGUCUACAUAGCCCAGCUAUAUUGGGACAAAAUAGCAUUUCUUCUUGGGUGGUGAGAUGCUGCUCUUAUACAACAGAGAUUAUAUGCAUACACACCAUGAUAGGGUGGCACAGUUAAAAAACUCCAUUGCCAUCCUGCUUUCCUCUUGACGGCUAGAGCAAAGACCCAUAUCAUGUUCGCCAAACAUACACAGUUUUUUUUUAUGUGCUUUAAGCACAGUUAAGUUAUUUAAAGCCCUUUCUUCUCACUGUACAAUUUAUUCUUUCCUUCAUGUCUCUCAGCAUUUCCUAUUUGUGGUCAGCGGAAUUGUAUCUUUCCUGUACUGAAUCGUACACAAAGGAUAAUACUGUUCUGUUUUGUCUGUUGACAAGAUCUUCAAAUCCUACUGCCCCACGGACGCAUAAUCGAAAUUUAAAGGAAAAUGUUUCCAUCUAUUUCCUCACCACCACCACCCCAAUAUAUACACAUAUAUAUGUAGGGAUUUAGCUAAGACUUUGACACCAUGGAAACUAGGCCCUAGGCGAUGAUCCUGUUCCUUCGAAAUAUUAUCCCCUGACUUUCAAUUUUGCUUGAGGUGUGUGUGUGUGUGUGUGUGUGUGUGUGAUGAAAGAGCUCUUUCACAGAAACUUACUUUGCCCUUUAGCUCACAUGCUCCCCAAACAUCUAACUGCAGCGGAUGUGUUGGUGCCUAUGUACAAACGUUGGUAUUCAUUUAAAGCACAAGCCAUAAGGGCAUCAUUUUGACAUGUGAGAUGUUUGCAGAGGGAAGGCGUUCACUGCAAGGACUCCCAUGGUGCAUGUAUGCACACUCACGUGUACACACAUACUUGGGAUCCUGUCAAAGAUGGCUGGGGCGCCUAGCGUCAGAGGUGAUAGGUAGCAUCUGCUCUUGUCUUGUGCCCCGAUGGCCCUGCAGUGUAUGGGGAGUUCAGCAUUAGAAAUAAACUUCCCCUUAGCUCCAACGAUAGUCUCCACCAGUAACAUACCCUCCAACAUCUCUCCAAUGAAAAUAGGGACGCCCUGUUCCAUAACGAUAAUUUUACUGUUUAUACCCCACACAUCUUACUGGGUUGCCCCAGCCACUCUGGGCAGCUUCCAACACAUAUAAAAACAUAACAAAACAUUAAACAUUAAAAAAACCAACCCUUCCUUAUACAGGAUUGCUUUCAGAUGGAGCGGAUAACUCCAUAUCCUCCAACAUUUCUCCACUGGAAAUAGGGGCAUUCUAAGGGAAAGUGGGACAUUCCAGGAUCAAAUCAGAAACAGGGAUGGCUUCCCUGGAACAUCCCUGGAAUAAGGGACAUCCCUGGAAAAUAGGAACACUUGGAGGGUGUUGCUGGAGUGUAUUUUUACUGAGUUUGCAGCUGUGGAAGGCGUACAUCUCCUCACCCUGUGAAGCCCUCUUCCCUCUCUCUCUCUCACACACACCUUGUGACUUUAAUUUUUUUAAAAACCUACAUGAUCAGUCCUUAAGAGGAGAUUUGUUAUGUCUGAACAAAACGUGAAGCAUUUGUUUCCAUUGCUCACAUCUCACAUAAUGUAUAUUGGUGGAACGUCUGCACCCUUAGUGGGUAAGAUGAACAAUGAUUGCCAUUCUUCUUUCUUUCGGAUAUCGUCGUCAGUAUUUUGAAUUAUUUUUGGGGGGAAUGCUUGGCAUUUUAACCUUCUCUUAUCCCAAUCACAUUAUUUCUCUCUCUUUCUCCCAAGUGUUCUCUGAUCUUUCUUCUCCUUCUGCAAACCUGUUUUCUGGCAGCAACCUUAUCAGACCCAAGGCCUACCUUUAAUCCAAGGUGGCAGCAUGGGAACCCAAUUUAAAUUGUCCAUCUUUCUCCGUUUCCCUCUUUAGGAUGGCCAGAUGUGACAGAUGAUGGCAAGGCUCUUGCACCAUUAAUACUUGCACAGAAGAAGGAAUUUUAGCAGGUGCAGUUUCACAUGGAGAGUUGAGAAAAGGGACACAUCCUGGAAUCACCUAUGCUACACAAUUAUUGGAGUCACAGGAAUCCACAUCCUCCUUUGUUUAAAUCUGGCAAGUUUCUUUCUCUUUCUCUUGUUUUUAUUUUUUUUAAGCUAAGUUGCAUUGAAAAUAAAAAAGAUGCUGAUUCUACUAGUAAGACCCAUGAGGUUAGGUUGUGACCCACUUGUGCCCCCAGCUGUAGACCAAUGCUAUAUAGAAUGAAAGUGAUGCAUAUUUUCACUGGAUCAGUGUGUGAACAUGAUAUUUGAGAGGGUGGAACCUUAAAAGGUUGUCUUGAAAAUGACUGUCCAUGUUACAUGCCAUUCCAUUUAAUGUUGCAUUAUUCUGUUCAAUUAUUGAUUGAAUGGAACUGGAGAAGGGAAGGGUUGACUCAUACCAGUGUAGGGAUGACAUGUGAAUAUUCACAAAGUUUUUACAUUUUGUCCACAUUCUGAAGAAAAAUAAAGCCCUUUCUUCCAUCUCCUCCUGCCUCACAUCUGAUGGGGGGCAGCCUGAGAAGAGCUCUAGACCCUCUAGAAGGACUCUAGAGGGUCUGCUCUGGAGAGCCCCAUACCAUCUGAUUGUGGGAGCUGGAGCGGACAGGAGUGGAAGAGGAAGCUCUGUUGCACACACUGUAGUUGGCUGCACCAGCGCAGCUGCAACCUUGGAGACAACCCAUAUUUCUGAACGUCUUUUCUUUCAAAAUACGCAUUUCUAAACAUACUGGGUGAUAUUCAGCUGGGUCGUAUUAGAGGCCCAUUAGAAGUCUUGGAUUUAAGUCACUUAAGUCCAUUGGUUUCAAUGGGUCUGCUCUAUGACUGUUGGAUAGCUCUCACUUUCUCUCGAAAUAGCAUUUGCCACUUAUCUUGAGCUGGAAACUCAACGUUCAAUAGGUGGCUACAUUUCAACCCACACGUUAAUCUUGGAGGUGCGGAUCAGGUCAGUCAGCACUGGAACCCACAAAGAUGGAUUUCCCCAAACAUAAACCCUGGAGGCUCAAAUGAAGAAGGAAGGAAAGACGACCUCAGGACACUUAUAUUUCUCUCCCUUCAUACAUUAUUCUCUCUCCUAGACACAGGAGGAGAACAAGAGACUCACCUUCCUCCGCAUGGGUCAGCUUGCUAAUUCUAACCAGCUUGUUUUUAUUUUUAAGUGCCAAUCAACUAGAGUUAUUUCUUGCCUGCUCAAGACAACAGAGUUUAAAGCUUAACGAAGAAAAGAGGAGACACACCGGAGGGUCUGGUGCUAAUGUCCUCUGUUCUCUGAACCUGUCUGUUCUACCAGUGACCCAUAGAGGAGCUGUGUCAGCUUAUCAGUUAACCAGCCAUCGCUGACAGACAAAUACCUUAAGACCGAGGUUGGGCAAAACUGCUACAAAUGUGCCAACCAUUUCAGAGCCGGCAAAAAUCCCUUCAUUCAGGCUUUUCAACCAUGGCUAGAGAUAACCACAUCUGCAAUAAUAGGCUACAUGCUUUCAGGAGUAUUAGACUCAAUUUUUUAAACCAUGAGAUGGGCUUUGUAUUAUUUUUAUUUUUUUGUUUUGUUGUGGUAUUGAUGGCACUGAAAUCACAAUGGGAGGUUUCCAUUUCAUGGUUUCAAUUAAAAUGAUGAAUAGUGAUAUGCCUUUCCAAGCCUGAGAGUCGUAUGGGUUUAAGCAGGCCUCAAUUCAGUUUGCCUACCUAGUCUGAGCAUUCCAAAACUACUUCAACCAAGACACAGCCAUCCUUCCAAAUGCACACUUUUCCAGAUUUUGUGAGGGAGUCCUCCAGCCCAAGCAAUGUGCACAGAAAUGCAUUCACUAGGUUAAAGUGUAAAAUAUUACUGAAAAUACAAUACAAAAAUGCAUUGCAUUAGGGGAAAUUGCUUUUCGAACAAGAAGCUUGCAUUAGAUGAAUUUUCAGGAGGACUUAAAUUGCAAACGUGUGGGAAUGUGGAGAACUGAACUUAAUAUUGGGAAAACGGCCUAGAGAAACAAAAAGUGACAGAUGAGCCUCUGUUUGGAUCUGCCCCCAUAAUCUGCUGGUGUCUGGUUGAUCAUGGGGGCAGGGCUGGGUUGCAGGGUCCUGGACUUUGGAUUUUGGGGUCCAGCCAUCUCUGCAUUGUAUGUGCAAUUCAGCUCCUUCACUGCACAAAAGAUGCCUUUUUAAAAUUAGGCCAAUCAUCCCUUCAUUAUCUAGCUAUCUAGGUGCCAGAUUUUUUUUUUCUGAGCCAAAUGUCUUGUCUUGUUUUUUUAAAAAUUAUUCGGCAACCCAGGGGGUACAGUUUUUAGGCUCUAGGCAUUACUGAGCACCUGGAUUUCUGUACCCCAGAAUAUAUUUAGACUGAGCCAUCUUUUAAAUAUAUAGAGCAGACAUCACUUGGACAGGAGUUCCAUACAUGGGUGCCAACACUGAAAAAGCCCUGCUUUGCAUUCCAAAUGUCAUUCAUAGGAAUGAUCCAUGUUUUUUCAUGCGUGUCUGCCUUUCCUUACAUAAUUUUUACAAUGACCCUCAUUUCAGAUGACGUCCACACUUAAAACUACCGUGUUAAAAAAUAAAAAUCAUUUGCACUAAUAAUAUCUCAGUCCCCACUCCACAGAUGCUUUAUAGUUUUAAGAGAAAAAUGCAAGGGCACUGCGAAGAAAGGAAGGAGGAGGGAGAAAGGUUGUACGGCUGAAGUGUGCUCAGAGAAAGCUGAUCUCAUAGUUGGAAAUGCCAGCGGGUUCCUAGUCCUGAAACCCAAAUGCUUGUUGAUUUUGGCUGAAUGCAUCUGUUGAGUACCGAGUGACAUUUACCUGUGCAGGCAGCAUCUUGGAUUUCAACACAAACUAAUCUAGCCAUCCUUUUGGCAUCCAUCAUUCCCAGUGACCCAAGCGAAAGAGCUGCAUGCAACACCUUGUAUGCUCUUGCUUUCAGGCGGGGUAUCAGCUAGCAAUUAUGGCUAGUCAUUUGUCCAAGCGCUUUUGGAGGAAAGGGGUGACCUGCUAGGGUCUGCAGGUAUUGUCAAACAAAGAGAGGCUUGGAUCAUGACAAGAAUGCCUUCGCAAGUUCCCACCCAGCCAGCAGUCAAGUUCUAUCUUGAAAAAAUAACAGGGAAGGCAGAACACACAACGUUAUCUCCCUUUCCUAUCCCUUUGUCCAUUUUUGCAUCACUUAAGAAAACACAUUUGGUAUGGGGUCUGCCUUCUUAAUGUGACAGGUUGCUUUUUUUUUUUUUUGCAGGGAGGGGUUCAUAAUAAUAGCCAGCUGAUGGCAGUAGACGUGGAGGCUGAAUGACAGGACCCAUGCCAAGGGGAGAGGAGACAAAGGGUUUCUUCCUGAAAGAGAGUGAGUGUGUGCAACAGAACACAUCUCCCCCCCCCAAAUACCUUUGUUUUGCUGUUCUGCUUCCCUAGAAUAUCUAGAUUCGGUUAAGUAUGCAAGUAGAAGACACAGUUGUUUUUACUUUAGGAGUGACGCAGGAAUUCCCAUUAGGACAGCAUAACAUUGCUAACUUUCAAUCUGUGGCAACAUGGAGGCAGCCCCCAAAAAUGGAAAAAAGCAAACAGAGAGAUUGGUACCGUGCUGAAAGGUUUAGUCAUGCAAAUAAAAUAAAGUCAUAUCAACCCCAAACGCAUGCUAAAUGCAACCUUUCUCAAUGACAAAGGAGCCUGUUGUUCUUCUUUCUUUUCUCAAUGAGAGUUCCCUUGGGAGCCCUUUUUUUAGAAGGAUGCCUAGAUCACUCGAGAGAGGUCCCCUGCUCUUCAUAUAUCUAGAAAGCCUCUAGGAAUGCAGAACCUGUUACUCUCCAGAGGUUAUGAAACUUCCAAUGACUGCCAACCCUGGCCAGCAUGGCUAGUGGUCAAGGAAGAUGAAGGACACUGUCCAUCUAGAGAGCCACAGUUUCCUCAGCCCCGUUCUAAAAUCUAAAGUGAGGAUGGCUUUUCAGGUAUUGUUUGACUCCAGCAUCCAUCCAUCCCAGCCAGCUUCAGGCCCAUCACUGCUCAGCCUUGGUUAGGUAUGAUACUGACUAAACAUCAGGAAGAACUUUCUUAUGGCGAGAGCUACUUGAUAGUGGAACGGACUCCCUCGGGAGGUGGUGGACUCUUCUUCCUUGGAGGUUUUUAAGAAGAGUUGGGUGGCCAUCUGCCAUGGAUACUUUAGUUGAGCAGGCUGGACUAGAUCAUUCUCGGGAUCCCUUCCAACUCUACAGUUCUGUGAUGGGAACUAUAACCCUCAUCUCUCACCUGGAGCAAGAUUGCAAACUCUAUGAAAUGCAGCGUGGGAGCUAUCUAAUGUGCCUAUGACUGUAUUUCAGUUGGUUUUUAUAGUUGUAAGCUGCCCUGAGAACUUGCUUAUAGGAUGGCAUAGGAAUGCUUAAUAAAAUCCAAAACAGUUGCAUCUAUAUUUAAUCACUUGAUGUGUGUCUGCUUCUAGCUCUUUAUCAUCCAAAUCCCCUUUGUUCUGUUCUGUUUGUUUUUAGUUGUUUAAUUACCUAUUACACAUGAAUAUCCCUUUUGUUCUUUAUGGGGCACUGUAUUGUUCUAAAUAAUUGUUAUAUAAAUGAAAAUUUCUUGAAAUAAAGGGUAUGUACUUAAAACAAACAAGGAAAUGACUGCCUCACCAAAACAAACUCACACGCAUCUGCUGCAGCUCUCCCGGCCAUGCUUUUGGGUGAGAGCCCUGCAAAGCUAUUGCUGUUCUUAGAACAGUGGUUUUUAGAUUUUGAGAGCCAGCAUGUUGGCAUCCAUCUCUCUCAAGAGGCAAUGGAGUGCGCCUCCAGAGGUGAAGUCAAACUGCUGGAGCUCACGCCGCCUGCUGUGACUGCAGAAUCCAAAGCCAUAACUAUGGGGGAAGCAAGACCCUCUUGGGGUGUUUAUGCUGUGAAUCCCUUCAUCGUAAGGUUCAGAUUGUAUAUCUGUGUAAGUAAACACAGGCUGAAUCCUGACAAGACAGAAGUACUGUUUUGGGGGGACAGGAGGCGGGCGGGUGUGGAGGACUCCCUGGUCCUGAACUGGGUAACUGUGCCACUGAAGGACCAGGUGCACAGCCUGGGAGUCAUUUUGGACUCACAGCUGUCCAUGGAGGUACAGGUCAAUUCUGUGUUCAGGGCAGCUGUUUACCAGCUCCACCUGGUACGCAGGCUGAGACUCUACCUGCCUGCAGACUGUCUCGCCAGAGUGGUGCAUACUCUAGUUAUCUCCAGCUUGGACUACUGCAAUGGUCUUGAAACACUGGUCUUGAAAGACCUACAUUGGCUCCCAGUACAUUUCCAAGCACAAUUCAAAGUGUUGGUGCUGACCUUCAAAGUCCUAAAUGGCCUCGGCCCAGUAUACCUGAAACAGCGUCUCCAUCCCCAUCGUUCAGCCCGGACACUAAGGUCCAGCUCUGAGGGCCUUCUGGUGGUUCCCUCACUGCGAGAAGCAAAGCUACAGGGAACCAGGCAGAGGACCUUCUCGGUAGUGGCAUCCGCCCUGUGGAAUGCCCUCCCACCAGAUGUCAAGGAAAUAAACAACUACCUGACAUUUAGAAGACAUCUGAAGGCAGCCCUGUUCAGGGAAGUUUUUAAUGUGUGACAUUUUAAUGUACUUUUAAUCUUUGUUGGAAGCUGCCCAGAGUGGCUGGGGAAACCCAGCCACAUGGGCAGGGUACAAAUAAUAAAUUAUUAUUAUUAAUAUAUUCUAAAGGAAACACGAACCCUGGGUGAACUCCUGGAAUCUUGCACCGCUUGAAUAUUGGGUUGGCGUACAACAAUGUGUAAUGCAUUUUCCAUCCUCCAGAAAAACUUUCCAUGACGACUUGAAUGUGUUGCAGAUGAUUAUUGCAGAUGAUCAAGGGCCAGGCAUCAGCCAUGCCUAUUGAGGGCAUGACUUGGAACAUAUCCCACAGGCUGCUAUGGCUGCACAUUGCUGAGGCACAUUGCAGAAGCAGAUUGGUGGUGAUGGACGAACUGUCAUUCAGGGAAGCUUGUUUCACCAAUCCUUUCAAUGAGGACACCCCUUUCCCAAUAAACCUCUAGGGAACAACGUUCUAGGGAAGGUACUGCCUGAAAAGAGACGGACCUAGAACCCUGUAAUGGAAGCACUUUAUGAACACAGGGAAAGAAGACCCCACCAUCUGUUGUUUAGCAGCAAGGAGGCCUCAGUCCAUUGCUACUUCCAGCUUCUCCAUCUGUUGUCGUCACAUAUAUCGCCAUGAUGAAUCUAGGUACUAACAUGUCCCUGAAAUGGAGCAAAUGGUUUUGACUCAGGCUUCUUAUGUGAAUUUAUGAUGGCUUAAAGAAGAGACGGUGGUCCUAAUAAUCCAGGAUUAGAAACAGAAAAUGUAGAAAACCAUGGGGUCGCAACUGGAAGGAAGAUCAUUCGUUUCAGCUGAAGACAGGGAAUAAAUGCAAAAGACUUCGUUUUCUCGUGUAUGGAAAGCAGGCCUCAGAUAAACAACGUAGUCCAGAAAACGCACGUUUGUGUGCUAACUCUGUUACACACACAGAGCUCGAGGCGAGAUGCGUCUAUAAAUAAAAAACGCCCCACCCACCCUUCGUCGAAAUCUGUGGGGAAUUUAGUGAGUGUGUGUUUUUGUAAGAUAUUUCUGUUCAAUUAGGCCACACCGUACAGUGGCUUUAUAUGAAAGGCGGCCUAGAGACAGAGCGAGCGCAGGGUGGCUCUGUGGAAGUGAGAGUACAUUGUAAUGAUAGCAGCCGUGCUCGGGUUGCGAGUGUCAUUCACCUCUUAUUCUUAAUCAAAAGGCUUCCAAUCCCUUCUUGAGGCACGUCCUCUGGAAAUGAAGGGACUGCCAGAGGAAUCAUUUGAAUGUGGCAGCCCUUGAUAAUGAUGAAAUGAAUAAAAGGUUCACUUUUUUAUUUUAUUUUUUUUGGUUUGGGUGAGGAGGAAUUCAGCUCACGGCUCAUGAAAAGGCCGCAGUUUAAUAGCGGCCGACGGCAGCCGCAAGGGCUUCUAGUUAUCUGCCGUGCGGCCUCCUUUGCAGAGAUAAUGGCUGCAACAAGGGCUUCCCCUCAGCCUACUCUCAAGGCCUGACGGAGCAGAGGGAAGCAGCCUGAGAGGAAUGGAGAGCCUGGUUCACACAAUCGCUCCUUGGAAAUGUGCGCUAUGUCAUACCCGUGAGAGCAUGGCAGCCAUUUUGGGCGCCGUGCUCUCGUGUGUGUGUGUGUGUUUUGGGGGGUAAGAUCUUGCGAUCUCAUUAGUGUUGGGCAGCCCCUAGUGGAAACUGCCAUUUAAAUUUCCCACAAUGCCUCAGUGCAACUCCAUAUUAUGGGCAUCCUAAGAAAUGGUGGCUAGGCAAAAACAACAGCAACAACCAUUUUGUGGAUUGGGUGUUGGGCAGGUAAUUGCAGGUAUCUCUGCUGGUCUCUGAGAGCAUGCUGGGAUCCUGAUAGCUUCCUGAGGCUGCUGAGUGCAGAUGUCAGGCCAGCCUGGUCCUAAAUUGCCCUAAUAGUUAUACACUGGACCCUCAGGUAACGUUACCUUCGGGUAACAUAACUUUCGGGUUGCGAACGCAGGAAACCCGGAAGUGUAUACUUCCGGGUUUCACCACGCGUGCAUGCGCAGAAGUGCUCUAUUGCGCUGCGUGUGUGUGCGCAGAAGCAGCUCCUCUAGAUGCAGAUUUUUUUGGGAAUGUACGGACCCCCGGAACGAAUUAAGUUCGUAUCCAGAGGGUUCACUGUAGUAGGGUUUGGUGUUGCCAAUUUGUUGCAAUCUGAGGUGUUGUUCAGUGACACUCUCUCUCUCUCUCUCUCUGUACGUGUGUGUGUGUGCGCGCACACGUGUAUGUGUACGUAUGCAAUACAAUAUUUGUGAAAAUUGUGUGUUUGCACAUGUAUAUUUAUUUAUAACAUAACUUCAGGGCGGGGUACUUGCAUGUUUUCCUUCGCAGAGCUCAACAGUCUAUUUGAAACGCCGUCAAAGGACAGCCCUUUCUUUGCAGGAGUCCCCUUAUGAAAAGGGGUGCCUGCUCCAAGUCAAGAAGGGAGAGCGGCAGGAGUCUUCCGGUUGCCUACCAGCAGUUGGCACCCCGGUAGCAGAUGGAGCAGACACACACCCGGCCACAGUCUUUCCUGCUAUGGUGAGAUGUAUUGUUGUUCUGUUUAAAUAGUUGUCAUUAAUAAUAAAUGUGCCCACGUUCAUACAGAAAUUAGCACAGGCAAAUUUCACACAAACCUGUACCCUUUUUUCUCCUCUUUUUUAUGAUGCCUAAGUUGCCACCUUACAGCAGGGUCUAGCUAAACUAAUAAAAACUUUUGGCAACUGACUUAAGAGCUGCCCCUCACUCCACUGCCCCCUUCAGACUGUCUAAAGUAAUUUGAUAUCUCCAGGUUGAUUGUAUGUCUCAGAUGCACAGAAAAAGGAAUUCAUGACACAGUUGUGUAAAAACAAGGGAGACCUUCUAUUUUUUAUUUUUUUUACAGUUUACUUGUUUAUAACAUUUAUCCGUUUCACUCUCAGUCCUAAGGCACUUGAGAUGAUACAUUUUAAAGAUAUGAAAUGAUAAUCUUGUGCACUGAGACUUCUUUUGUAGGGCUGACAAUUAGGGGGUUGGAGACUCAAUUUAGCAGCCAAGAUUGACACACACACCCUGUCUCCAACAGGACCAUCCUAAAGAUGCCCCUCAGCUGCUUGGUAUUAAUUAAUUAAUUAAUUAAUUAAUUAAUAUAAUGUAAAUGCCUAUUUAAAAGAUAACUAAGUUUCAAAGCAGCUCGCAACUGAACUUAGAGAAUAAAAAAAACGACAAAAUAGAAGAAGAAGAAGAGUUUGGAUUUGAUAUCCCGCUUUAUCACUACCCGAAGGAGUCUCAAAGCGGCUAACAUUCUCCUUUCCCUUCCUCCCCCACAACAAACACUCUGUGAGGUGAGUGGGGCUGAGAGACGUCAAAGAAGUGUGACUGGCCCAAGGUCACCCAGCAGCUGCAUGUGGAGGAGUGGAGACACGAACCCAGUUCCCCAGAUUACAAGUCUACCGCUCUUAACCACUACACCACACUGGCUCUGUGUGCAAAAUAAUGACAAACAAAGGUCAAAUGCAAAGCACACACACACACAUGUUUGGAAAAUAGAAUAUUCUCUUGAACCUGAAGACAUCUCAGAGAAAAAUCAAAUGCAAAUAGCAAAACUUCACAAAACAGCAUCAUUAGCUGAGAUAGAAGCUGCACUCCCACUUCCCCCCAUAGCAACCUGUCCCAGAUACAUUCCUAGCAAUCUUCCCCAUACAAAAUUCUCUCUUUAGCAUUCCCACCAGCCACACAGAUAACACAGAUAAUCCCCAGCCAACCGCUUGUUACAAGGCUAAAGUCUGGACUACAAAAAAAUACCUGGCAGCUUUGAGCAUAAUUUGCAGCCAGCUCAUUCACCCAGCUCCAUCUAGGGCAAUACAGACCCACCACGCCCUCCUUGUCUGCCACCCAGGUGGGGCCAUACUCCCUACCAGUUCAGUCUUUCACACUGAGCAGUAUUAAGCAACUUUGAAACGCACAAAAACAUUGUGAGCCAGACCCUUUUGUACAAGCUGAGACACAGUUUGCUGAGGUUUUUUUUUUUCAGAGUUAAGUUACUGAAAAAGAAUUCUGGUGAUCAGUCCAAAGGUCCGUCUAGCAUUCUGCAUUCUUGCUUCUCCCAAUCUGAUGCCUCUGGGCUGUGAAUGUGCAGUUGUUCCUUAUGCUGUGAUCCUUUCUAACAACUGAUAUUCACUGGCACACUGACACUGUGGGAUAGUGGUUAGAGCAGUGUUUCUCAAACGUGGGUCUGCAGCUGUUGUUGGACUACAACUCCCAUCAUCCUUGACCAUACCAGCUAGGGAUGAUGGGAGUUGUAGUCCAACAACAGCUUCAGACCCAUGUUUGAGAAACACUGGGUUAGCAUAUCAAACUAGGACCUGGGAGACCAGGUUCAAAUUCCCACUUGGCCAUGAAACUCACUGGGUGACCUUGGGCCAGUCACCAACUUUGAGGCCAUCCUACCUCCCAGGAAUGUUGUGACAGUAAUGUGGAGAGGCAGGGAGUCCAACACCUUGAGCUUCUUGGGUGGAAGGUGGGACAUGAACGUAAUAAUAAAUACUGCACCCAAAAGCGUUUUACAGUAGAACAACACAUAUAAAACAGUUAAAAGCAAUAUUAAAAAAUGCAUUUUUUUAAAACAACAACAACAGUACAUACUUGAUAUCAAUGACUCUAAAGCCAAAACCUAUUAAUUACUACAAUCACAAUAACAGGAAAAGCAAAAUGGCAGGACUGAAAGAAGAAAAACAGCCGAUAUCAUUGAACAAUGUAGGGUCAGACCAGAGUUUACUUAACUCUUCCAUAUAUUGAGAAGGUUUCUAGUCCUCACGGGAAAGGCUGAAAAGCCUUGAGGUGAAAUUUAAUUUAUCUAACUCCAUUUAAUUCAUCUGACUCAAUAGUUAUUGUAACGAACAAACAAUGUUCACUCAAUAUAAUGUCAAUUUCAACUCCAGUUUUUAAUACCUAAUGUUAUUGCCUUCGAAUUCAUCAAGAGGACAAGAUUUAGAGUGCUGCUUGCUGCUUCUUUUUUUUAAGGAUCCAUCCAAGUCAAAUGUCAAGAGCAGAACUGGAAUAGUUUCAACAUUCUUCCCCACGGAAGCCCGCCAAUGCGUUGAGUAAUGAGCUGGGAGCAGCAGGCAACAGGAAAUGGGUGCUCAUGAGUCAAACGCAGAGUCUGCAGGCCCUAGGAAAUCUCCCAAAGAAUACAGAUGCUAUUCCCACAAGAGCCAGGGCUUGACUGAGACUUAAGUAUCAGCACACACUGGAUACUGGUCGGUCGUCUUCUGACUACCGAUGAUGGUGAGAGAAGAACAGUUGUGGGUCUAGGAUAGCAAACUUACUUUUUGCAUCAGGAAGAAGGCAGUUGCCUCUGAAUAGCAACUGCAGGGAAUUGCAAGUGGGAAGAGGGCUGUUGGACCCAGGUCUUACUUGCAGGCACCCUAUGGACACCUGGUUGGUUCCUGUGAGAACAGAUAUGCUGGAUUUGAUGGGCCUUUGGCCUGAUCCAGCAGGACACUCAGGUUCCCUGUCACUUGGUUCCUGCUUUUAUGAUGGACACUUCUCAGACGCCUUUAGACAUUUUUGUGUGUGGAUUAUCAGGAUCCCUCCUAAUCUCGUGAUGUGGAACAGCGCUUAGAUUGAAGAAUGUCACACCUAAUGCCUUAAAUAAAUAACCUUGGACAGCGUGUCAGAAAUUUA